GCCAAUUGUGAAAGAGAUCAUGCCAUGGCAGCUAUAAAUAGGCAUGUAGCAUGAUGACCAUCCUUCCUCAUUCAUCAUUCUCAUAAGUAGAGUGCAUCAUUCAAGCCAAGCAAGAACUGGUCAAUACAAAUACACCAUGAAGACUUUUCUCAUCCUUGCCCUCCUUGCUAUUGUGGCGACCACUGCCACAACUGCAGUUAGAGUUCCAGUGCCACAAUUGCAGCCGCAAAAUCCAUCUCAGCAACAACCACAAGAGCAAGUUCCAUUGGUGCAACAACAACAAUUUCCAGGGCAGCAACAACCAUUUCCACCACAACAGCCAUAUCCGCAGCCGCAACCAUUUCCAUCACAACAACCAUAUCCGCAGCCGCAACCAUUUCCGUCACAACUACCAUAUCCGCAGCCGCAACCAUUUCCACCACAACAACCCUAUCCACAACCGCAACCACAAUAUCCGCAACCACAACAACCAAUUUCGCAGCAACAAGCACAACAACAACAACAACAACAACAACAACAAAUCCUUCAACAAAUUUGCAACAACAACUGAUUCCAUGCAGGGAUGUCGUCUUGCAACAACACAACAUAGUGCAUGCAAGCUCACAAGUAUUGCAACAAAGUAGUUACCAACUGUUGCAACAAUUAUGUUGUCAGCAGCUGUGGCAGAUCCCCGAGCAGUCGCGGUGCCAAGCCAUCCACAAUGUCGUUCAUGCUAUUAUUCUGCAUCAACAACAACAACAACAACAACAACAACAACAACAACCAUCGAGCCAGGUUUCCUACCAGCAGCCUCAGCAACAAUAUCUAUCAGGCCAGGGCUCCUUCGAGCCAUCUCAGCAAAACCCACAGGCCCAGGGCUCUGUCCAGCCUCAACAACUGCCCCAGUUCGAGGAAAUAAGGAACCUAGCGCUACAGACGCUACCAGCAACCUGCAAUGUCUACAUCCCUCCAUAUUGCUCGACCACCAUUGCGCCAUUUGGCAUCUUCGGUACUAACUGAGAAGAGAAGAACUCUAGUACUAGAUAUAUCAAACAUCGUGUUCUUAGUCCAUGGUUUGGUCGUUGUACUGGUGAAAAUAUAAAGUGACAUGCACUACCAUGUAAGAACCCGAACUAUACUAGUUCAAACUUGGGAAUAAAAGACAAAGCCAGGUCUUGUCUGCAUAUGAUUAUUUGUUUGAGUUCCAUUCAUGUGCCCGUUCACAAGUUCACCCCUAAUUAUAUAUAUUACGCAUUAAGUAGAUAUCUAUGUUGCAUUAAUUUGAAGAUAACAAAAUGAGUCUAAAACUUGAAUUAAAUUGAAUUGUUUUCUUGGACUUUCAAAUUGUGUAUUAUUAAAGUAGUAACGACUAUCCACAUCCUUGGCUUGCCCUUGAUCAAUUAUUUCCAGAGAAGCAUUCAAUUCAUCAAUCAAUUACAUUGAUUUUUGAGACUGGUACAUCUCCUCAUCAUGAGUAUCAUUGCGGCUACUCCAAAUCGCCCACAUAACCGAAGCAUUAAUAGCGCUCUUCUUGCAUCAGGAAAUAUGGAUUGAAGAUAUCAGGUGACCAUGUUUCCGGGUGCAACCUUGGGAGUUUUAUGUCAAAAUAUUCUCAAGAAGAAUCCAAGAAUAAACUUGCAUGCUCACGUGUGAUAAGGGCAUAUGAAGUAACAUUUCCUCCCCAUGGCCACAUAGGGCACACACAUAACCCCAUCACAUGCAUUUUUAGUUAUGCAUAUGAAAGGUAGGAUGUUUUUAAUUACUCUCCACCAAAAUACUCUUAACUUGGCUUGUACCCUAAGAGUUUGUUGCCUUUUCAUUUCUUCUUCCCCAUUAGACAAACUAGACAGUCCAUCCACCACACCAUUCCUUGUGUCCAUCAUGGCUCUGUACAACAAUUGGACAGAACAAAUGUCAUUUCUUUAUGAUACCCACGACCAAAUGUCCUCUGCUGGAUUGUUUGGUCGUGGCAUAUUAAGGAUGGCCACCUCAUCUGAUGGGAUAAACACCUAAUGAAUGAAAGGAUUGUUCCAGUCGCCCGUGUUUUUCAUCGAUAAGAUCAGCUACAAGUUGGACCGGAGUUUCUCACAUGCAUCGUAGUGGUUUCAUUAGCGGCAUGCCCUGCACCCAUUUAUCAUGCCAUAUCUCUGUAGUAUGUGCAUUCCCAAUUUGUCACAACAUACCCUCCUUCAAACCUUCUUGACCUUUCAGAAUUGCACGCCAAGUUAGCGAUGCACUAUGCAGGAACCCGCAUUUCAAAAAAAAAAGAAUCUCAUUUCAUGGUAUCUUCCAUAAAGGACCCUCAUACAUGAGCUAUCUAGAUAGAAACAGCCAUGUAUGUUUAGCAAACUUUGCAUAAGUGAAUAGAUCAAGGUUGUGGAACCCCAAGCCUCCAAUUACACCCGGCCUCUCUACCAACAAGAUGUCUAAAGACAUGAAGGAUACACACAGCCAAAAAAGAAAAUAAAAAGAACAAAAUAAAAAAUACCCCACCAUGGUGGUCAAUCACAAGCAUCAACAACACUCUAACCACCACCGAAGACAAUGCCCGGAUUACAAAAAGGUUAUUCAAAAGCAACACCCACAAGAAGGAAACAAUGCACAAGCGUUGUCGUUGCCCGAUAGAAGAUCGUGGGUUUUCACCCUGGAAAAAUUUUGAGUUCACCCAAAAACAAUGCCUUCAACAAGGCCAUUGCCAAGUACAGCCAAUAAGGGGUAGACCUUGGGUUUUCAACCUAGGAACUGAGACUCGAUAGUCGACAAGUACCACCGAAAAUGCAGUCCACCGGUGUUGCCGCCCCCGCUUGCCGAGGCCGCUGUUGCAAGUCACCAAACAUACAGUUGUCAUCGCAUCCAAUACAUCCUUCCGCCGAAGCUUCAAGACCUCAAAUGGCAGCCGCCGUGACUUUCUCCACAUCUAUCAAUGCCUUGAGGAUCUUGACUUAGACAUGUCCCGUGACAUAAAUAAGAAACCGAAGCUUCGCACCGCGUCCUCUUGAGGCCGUGUUGGCUGAUAAUAUUAGCGCGUAUGACGGGAGCCUUUCCAACCUAGAUAUCCAGGGGCGACAUACACCAAUCAAUAUAGAUCUCCGCUCGGAAAGACCGGAACUCAUCAACGGCCAGAUCCAAGUGGUCGACAUCCGGCAAAAAGACGACUUGGCGGAAGAAGAGCAUCAGGGCCAAACCACCAUUAUUAGUCCGAAGCUAAUAGCCCCCACGCCGCCCUCCUCUCGAUCCAGACCUGCAGAAAAAGAUCAACGACGCCGCAUCGUGCCACUUGCAUCCGUGGAGGCUUGAACUUGGCAAGAUGCCAACCAUGGCUGGAGACGGGGACCAGCCACUCCUGGCUGGAUCCGGUGACUCCUAGUCCUACCGCUGCCGCUACGGCGGCACCGCGUGUGGCCUACAAGCCCAUCCACGAUGAUGUCUGAUUAGAAGGAUACAUGGAUAUACAGAUGAAAAGGCCCUUGUUAUCCCUCCAACAAUAUAUAUAUAGCUUAUUGGGACGUGAGAAAGCUCGCACAAUUUUAUAGUGGCUAUGGAAAUGUGUUGCCAGACAGAGAUAUAAGAUUUUUGUUUGGCAUCCAGACCGUUUGUGUCAUGCUUAAUCGAUGGUCACUCUAAUUUUUCCGGCGGGCCUUCCCCGUGGUACUGCAGCCUUAUAUGUGUAUGGGUUUCAUACAGCUAUUCUGUCCUGUCUAGAAAAGGAGAAAACCAAAAUUACUUGGAGUUAAUAACUAAUACGUUUCCUUUAACUACCAUGUGCACGGCGAGGAUUUACGUGCAUGAUGUUUUUUCCUCUCCCCACGUCAUAUUGGGCCGGCCCAUUCACGCGCAUAUGGUUAGAAAAAGAGAUGAGGAAAGGGAGAACCAGGAUUGAUUCCUAGUCUCAAGGUGACCGUGGGUGCUGCUACCAGUCCGCCCAAGUCCCGUUCGUGAUAAGUUGUAGGUGCGCGUGGUACUUCAAGCGAUUCAAGCCGGUUUUAUUUGAGUUUUUUUUCUCUUUUUUUUCUUCUUCAUUUUUUUCAUUCUUUUUUACACUCCGUUUCUUCGAUUUGUCAUUCUUUUUUUCUUUUGUUUAUUUCCUUUUUUUCGGUUUUCUUUGUUCUAUUGGUUAUCAUUGUACAUUUUUUGUAUAUGUCAACAACAUUUUUCUCUAAUACACGUCUAACAUUUUUCAAAUACAAACCAACCAUUUUUGUAAUACAUUGUCAACAUUUUUUCUAUACACAUUUUUUAAAUGCUUGAUUAUCAUUUUUCAAAUACAAGAUUAACAUUUUCUCAAUACAUGGUCACCAUUCUUUUUCUAUUUUCACAAAAAACUUAAAUGCUUGAUUAACAUUUUCUUAAUACAUGGUCAACUUUUUCUCUAUACACAUUUAACAUUUUCCAAACGCUUGAUUAACAUUUUCGAACCCUUGUUCAACAUUUCUUUUAAAUGCCUGAUUAACAUUUCUGUAUACAUGAUCAAACAUUUUUAUCAUUUUAAUACAUGGUCAACAUUAUUACCAUACACAUUUAACAAUUUCCAAUUCUUGAUUAAUAAUUUUUAAAUACUUGUUCAACAUUUUUUUCAAAUGCAUAAUGAUGACAUUGUUCAAAAGUGGCAUCACAAGUUUCAGGGAGUAGAAAAUAGAUUAAUCAAUGAAACCGCGCGAACUUUGUGAUGCUAUUGUGUUAUAUCAACUACUUUCUCCGUCUCAUAAUAUAAGAGUGUUUUUCACAUUAGUAUAUAGUGGAAAAACGCUCUUAUAUUAUGGGACGAAGGGAGUAUGUGUUUGUUAUGUCAUACUGAGCACCAAAUUCACUAUAUAUAUAUCUAUACCAAUAUAAAAAGACCUAAAGGGGCAGAUCCAAAUAAUCUUGGCCAUUAAAUCAUGUCAAUCCAAUGACAUAGACUGCUUCACUGUCGAGCACUUAAUACGUUUAGCAUGCAGUUAAUUGCAUGCCAAAUAUAGUGCUAAUCACAUAAUAACAUGCAAAUAAUAUCCUACUUAAUAUCCGAAUGCACUUAAUAUACUUCCAAAUUAACGCGCAUUACACAUACACAUUAACUAAUCACAUAAUCAAAGAAAUUAACACACAAAUAAUAGCAUACCUAAUAUCCACGUGUAAAUAAUAAAACAAUAUAAUGCUUAAAUAUUAACCUGUGUUGCACGUGCACAUUUAGUAGAACAUGGGAAUACAGUAACAGUAAGCUCACUAGACGGAAGCCCGUCACGGCCAUGUGAAUAGGAUCCUCCUCGUACUGCUCCUCUCCUGCCCUGCCCUGAGCAGUAUCAUCCGUCGUCGUCGCCGGGCGGCGCAGCAGCCGGCGGCCGAGGGGAGACCGAGAUUUCCUCUUUGGAGGCGCCGAAUGCGGCUCGUAAGUCCAAAUCCCUCCCAGUCCCGCCUCUCGAAUCCCCACCGGUCUCCUACUUCCAUGCCGCCAAUGCCCGCCUUUUCUUUGGACUCCGAGCGAGGAAUCGGAGGGAAAGCUGUGUGCUUCUUGCAGCUUCAUGCCCCGGCAAUGGCGGCCCUGCUUGCUUUCUGUUGCCGCUGGGUCGCUCUACUCUCUGCGUGCCCGUCCGCAAGGUGUUCGAUGGAUUGUGCGCAGGGUGUCGGCCCGGCUGGUCCCCUGGUCUCGUUCCAGUUCUCCCAGGUUUCAGUCUGCUUACUGUCAGUUGCUGAAAAUGUGCACGAAACGGAUGAAAAUGCUGGGAUAUGCGCUCUUUGUUUACCGUUUACCGUCAUUUGUUUGGUUGCAGGAAGCACCCGGCCUUAAGCAUAGUACUACAUAUAAAGUUGUAUGUUCUGUUCUGUUUGUUUGUUUGCUGUCUGAUGAUUGAGACAAGGGCAUAAUCUAAAGUUUGGCACCUGCACUUGCACCUGCUCCUGCACAUUUAUGUGCUGGAAACUGGAAUCUGUUCAGAGUAGUAUGGCCACGCCACAGGUUUUAGCUUUCACUCAUGGACCACAUUGCUUCUUGACUAUCUUGGAUGCUUGUUGGCCCAUCCUUGUAAUUCUAUAUCUUUCUAGUAGUCUUAUAAAUCAGAAACAUAACAACUUUUUGUGUUGCUUACUAUAUUUUGUGUAUUUACUUAGCGUGUUUAGUCAAAUCAUCUGUCAUUGUUCUCUCAAGUUGUUUUUCCUUGCGAUAUUCAACCCAGCGGUUUAAAAUUCCUGCAAUUGAUUCAUUCAAAGUGAUUUUUCCUUCUUUGUUGUUGUUUUCUUUUAAAUGUUUGGGCUGAGGCUCCAAAUGUUGCUACUCUUUUACAUGGACUAUGUUACUUUGGAGAAUACAAGAAUUAUGCAUUGGUACCACGAUAACAUAUGCCUAAUGGUUUUUCUUACAGGAUGGGGUUUCCAACACAUAAAUAGUUUGCUAGCAUGCAGACAAGUGUCCAGUAGCCUUUGCGCCAUUUGAGGCGUAAUGGAGAUAGUUUUUCUCAUGUUGUUGGUUCUUUCUCUGCUCCUUUUCCCUAAUGGCAUCUGCAAGAGUUUAGCCACAGGGCCUCCUGUUGUGAAUAUUGGGUCUAUUCUUCAAUUUGACUCCACCACCGGAGGUGUUGCGGCAGUUGCCAUCCAUACAGCCUUGGAAGAUAUCAACUCCGAUCCAACAGUUCUAAAUGGAACUACACUAAAGGUUCAAAUGAAGGAUACAAAUUGCUUUGAUGGUUUCCUUGGCAUGGUUCAAGGUAGGCUAGCUUUAAUGUCACUCAUUCAUUUCGCAACCUUCAAAUAAUUUUUUACUUCUGUUGUGGAGUUGUGGCAAUGAUGCCGUGUUCCUUGUAUCAGCUUUGCAGUUCAUGGAGACUGAUGUUAUUGCACUCAUUGGCCCUCAGUGCUCUACUAUUUCUCAUAUGAUUUCAUAUGUAGCAAAUGAGCUUCAAGUCCCUUUAAUGUCCUUUGCUUCUGAUGCAACUCUUUCAUCGAUACAGUUCCCGUUCUUUGUCAGGACGGGUCCCAGUGAUCUCUAUCAAAUGGCGGCUGUGGCAGAAGUUGUUGACUACAACCACUGGAAGAUAGUGACUGCCAUAUACAUUGAUAAUGUUUAUGGUAGAAAUGGCAUUGCUGCUUUGGAUGAUGCACUCACUUUAAAGCGCUGCAAAAUAUCCUACAAGGUUGGGUUUCCUUCCAACGCUAAAAGGAGUGACCUCAUAAAUUUGUUGGUUAGUGUCAGUUAUAUGGAGCCUCGUGUUAUUGUUCUCCAUACUGGAGCUGAACCUGGACUCAAGCUUUUCUCUGUGGCAAACCAACUGAACAUGAUGGGCAACGGCUAUGUGUGGAUUGCAACUGACUGGCUGUCUGCAUAUCUUGAUGCUAAUUCAUCAGUUCCUGCUGAGACUAUAUCUGGCCUGCAAGGUGUUCUUACUUUACGGCCACAUAUUCCCAACUCAAAGAUGAAGAGUAAUUUGGUCUCCAAAUGGGGCACGCAAAGUAAAAAGUACAACUACAGUGAUCUUCGUGUAAAUACGUAUGGUUUUUAUGUUUAUGAUAGUGUCUGGGCAGUAGCUCGGGCUCUGGAUGCCUUCUUUGAUGAUGGUGGUAGGAUUUCCUUUUCAAAUGACUUGCAUGAUGGAAUUGGAGGAACUCUUCACCUUGAAGCAAUGAGCAUUUUUGACAUGGGAAGCAAAUUACUGGAGAAGAUUAGAAAGGUAAACUUCAGUGGGAUAUCUGGGCAAGUGCAAUUCGAUGCUGUAGGCAACCUCAUUCACCCUGCGUAUGACAUCAUAAAUGUCAUCGGAAAUGGCAUGCGGACCAUUGGUUUUUGGUCAAACUAUUCUGGCUUGUUGUCGACUGUCUCUCCAGAGGCUCUAUAUUCAAAGCCUCCUAAUAUUUCUCUCGCCGAUCAGCAUCUCUAUGAUGUUAUUUGGCCUGGGGAAACUGCACAGAGGCCUCGAGGAUGGGUCUUUCCUUCUAAUGCCAAGCAGUUGAAAAUUGGUGUUCCCAACAGAUUUAGCUUCAAAGAGAUCGUCACGGUAGACAAUGCUACUGGGUCAAUGAAGGGUUAUUGCAUCGAUGUCUUUACUCAGGCAUUGGCUUUGCUUCCUUAUCCUGUUAGUUACAAGUUUGUACCUUUUGGGAAUGGUACUGAAAAUCCUAAUUAUGACAAACUCGUACAGAUGAUUGAAUCAAAUGUAAGUAUGGAAUGCCUCUUUUCUUCCUCUAACCAUUUCAUCAUAUACCAUGCUGACCAGGGUCAUCUUAUCCUGCAGGAGUUUGAUGCAGCUAUAGGGGAUAUUGCAAUUACAAUGAGGCGGACAGUAACUUUUGAUUUCACCCAGCCAUUCAUUGAAACAGGCUUGGUUAUCUUGGCUCCGGUUAAAGAGCAUAUAACAUCGUCCUGGGCAUUCUUGCAGCCAUUUAGUUUGGAGAUGUGGUGUGUUACAGGGCUGUUCUUUCUUAUUGUGGGUGUGGUUAUUUGGGUUCUUGAACAUCGGAUCAAUGACGAUUUCCGUGGUUCAGUAUGUCAACAAAUAAUAACUAUUUUCUCGUAAGGAGCUGGCAUUUACCUUUUGUAUCGUCUUCUUGUAUAUCAUUCCUGUUUUCGAAGUGUUGAUGUUUUAACAAGUCUUGUGCAAUAUGUUGCAUACAGCGAGCACCUUAGAGCAUUGGCCAGUUAACAUACCUAAAUGAAGCAUCUAGUGAUUACCAAUGAACUACUCCCUCUGUCCCAUAAUAUAAGAGUGUUUUUGACGGCGGGAGUAUUAUCUUAAUAAUCUUGUGAGACAUAUAUACAUGCACAGUAUAUAUAUUCGCUUAAUGAUAUUUAUGUUCAUUGCUCUAUUUUUUCCUGUUUUCACGUACUUCUCCACAUGUAUUUGCCAAAUGCUCUUAUCAUGACGUGAUUCCUUACUGUGAGUAUAAUUUCAAAUUUUAUUGCCUGCAGGUUCAGCUUUUCAACUUUGUUCUUCGCACACAGUGAGUAAACCAACCUUUUCUCUUAUGUGUUUUUUUGGCUAUAACAUUUUGUUCUGAGGCAUGACUCGUGAUUUCAUCCAUGUCUGCUCGCAGGAGAAAAUACUAUGAGUGCCUUAGGGCGUGGUGUCCUGAUCAUAUGGCUGUUUGUUGUUUUGAUAAUUGUAUCCAGCUAUACCGCGAGUCUUACUUCCAUCCUGACCGUGCAACAACUUGAUACUUCUAUAAAAGGAAUUGAUGACCUGAAAAAUAGCAAUGAUCCUAUUGGUUUCCAAGUUGGUUCUUUUGCACAAGACUAUAUGGUCAAGGAGCUCAACAUCUCACGGUCAAGGCUAAGAGCUCUUGGUUCACCACAAGAAUACGCGGAAGCCCUCAAGAUAGGCCCUAAGGAAGGAGGUGUUAUGGCCAUUGUUGACGAGCGCCCCUAUGUUGAACUGUUUUUGUCAACCUACUGCAAGAUUGCGGUAGCUGGCACAGAUUUCACCAGCAGAGGAUGGGGCUUUGUAAGUACAGUUCAACCAUAUACUUUUAUAUAAACUACUCCCUCCGUUCCUAAAUAUAAGUCUUUGUAGAGAUUCCACUAUGGACCACAUACGGAUGUGCAUAGAUGCAUUUUAGAUUGGAGAUUCACUCAUUUUGCUCCGUAUGUAGUCCAUAGUGGAAUCUUCCCAAAGACUUAUAUUUAGGAACGUAGGGAGUAGAAUAUAAGAACAAAAUAUUAUGCUGUUAAUGUCCUGGAAUAGAGGUUUUAACUUUGAAUAGUUGUGUCUAGUCUCUAGUUUAUUAUGCAACUUUUCUUGCACUUAUCUGCGGCUACUUUGUUUCGCAAAUCGAAAUGUAGCACCUUACAAAUUAAUUCUGCCAGGCAUUUCCAAGGGACUCCCCUUUGCAAGUAGACCUCUCCACCGCAAUCCUGUCUCUGUCAGAGAAUGGGGAGCUGCAGCGGAUCCAUUCCAAAUGGCUCAAUACAGGGGAGUGCACAACUGACAACAGCGAGUUUGUCGACUCGAACCAGCUCCGCCUUGAGAGCUUCCUUGGUCUGUUCCUAAUCUGUGGUGUGGCAUGUGUUCUCGCGCUGCUACUCUACUUUGGUAUCAUGCUAUGCAAAUACCUGAGGCAUGAACCGCGGAAGAGCCUCAGAAGAUUCAUCUCGUUCGUCCAUGGGAAGGAGCCGCCGAAGAACAUGGAGAGGCGAUCCAUGAGCCUGCCUGGAAGCUCGACGCCAACAACGCCGAUGGGCAGCUUUAGUUCCCUUGACAUGGAAAGGCCGGCCAGGCCAGUCAGAAACGGCAGCGUUAUUGAUAUGGAAAGCUAGUUCAUGUGUAGAAAGCUACGCGGUCGACUAACAUAGGUUCUGGUAGUCGGACAGCAGGGGUGUAUAGGGGGAUUCAAAAUACUUCUUAAGUACUCCCUCCGAUCCAAAUUAUUCCAAAGUUUAGGAAAUAAGAGAAGGAAGGAUUAAUAAGAAAUAAAAAUAUUGAAAUGCUCCUCCUGUCCUACAUAUAUUGUUUUUACCUUUUCAUGACUGUAUUUUGGGGGGAGUGUGGAUUUUCUAUCAUGCACGGGACCUCCCGUGCAUGCAUCCAUCACAUUUUUUAUUGCUGUGUGGGGCCCCUAUUUUCUCUCACCUAACAUACAUUCACAUGUUAAUUUGUACUGACUAGGUUUCAUUCACUAGUGCAGAACAGGCCUUUAUCACUGGUUCAUAAGGGCCUUUAGUGCCGGUUCUGUAACCGGCACUAUGGAGUGGAGACUAAAGGCCCCCCUUUAGUACCGGUUCGGCACGAAUCGGCGCUAAAGUGCCACCACGUGGCACGAGCCAGUCCCGGGUGCUGGUAGACCAUUAGUACCGGUUGAUAACACCAACCGGUACUAAAUGUUUGGGGGGGUUUUGGUUUUAAUUUUUAAUUUUUCAUUAACUUUGGGUUUUCCAUUUAAUUCUUUUUUGUUUGCUGGUAUUUUACGAUACUACAUAUUGUACACGUUAUGCAUAUAUAUAUAAAUAGAUUUUCUCGUAGAACUGAUCAUAUAUAUAAUCGAAUGUCUCACAACCACCAUUAAUUAUUCACACAUACACNNNNNNNNNNNNNNNNNNNNNNNNNNNNNNNNNNNNNNNNNNNNNNNNNNNNNNNNNNNNNNNNNNNNNNUUUGCUGGUAUUUUACGAUACUACAUAUUGUACACGUUAUGUAUAUAUAUAUAAAUAGAUUUUCUCGUAGAACCAAUCAUAUAUAUAUAUAAUCGAAUGUCUCACAACCACCAUUAAUUAUUCACACAUACACAUGUAUAUAUAUAUAUAUAUAUAUAUAUAUAUAUAUAUAUAUAUAUAUAUAUAUAAUUUCUCCUCCAUGUUGCCUUGGUGCCUUCGGAGCACGAUGACAAGUGGUUCAUGGAGACGGUAGCGGGUAAUAGUAUUUUCCUUUGGGAUCUAUGACCUGCUCGAGCAAAAAUCUCGUUAUUUCCUCUUGAAGUGCUCGUAUGCGCUCUGUUGGUAGGAGCUGGUCCCGCAUGUCUUUGAACCGUUAAGAAGGAGAUCAAUAUGCAUGUGUAUUAGUUGUGUGACUAGAUAUCGAUAAUCAUGUAAGAUUUGUGAAUAGUGUUCUGGCAAACGUACCCAUUGUUGUCUAUCAUAUCUGCUCCUUUCGGACGCCAUUAUGCGAAUGUUCUUGAAAACGUAGUAUGCACACACUUCAGUCCCCGGCGCCUGCUUCAGGGCCUUUACGAGAAUAGAAUUUAAUCAGAUAAUAAUUAAUCAAGUGUGUUAAUUAAUUAAUGGUAUUGAAACAAGAAUUAAAGAGAUGGUAGCUAGCUAGCUAGUACUACUUAAUUACUUGCCUUGGGUCGAUACCAAAAUAGCUUUUGUCGCCAUUUUCCUGAAGUCACCUUGAUGUACUUUACCCAAGCCCUUCCCGUCGGCAAAGAAAAUUGAUAAAGGGGUUAUUAAAAAUAGUUCAUAUCAGGAAAUGAUAAACUAAAUAGGCCAAGAUAUAGUUAAUAAUGAUUGAAAUUACCUGUUGACUAUCCCUUCAUUAUGCUGUAGUCACUAUCUUUUUUAAGUAGUGAGUCCAGUACUUCAACUUUUCCUUCGUCAACUUUAAUGUCUAACAAGAUCCAGUGGUACCUGCAUACGCAUAAGUUUGCAUGUAUAAAUUAAGCGGGCAUGUGCAUAACACUAAUCAACUAUAACCCUAAACCCUUUACACUUAUUAACAUCUAGCUAGUAAGCAAAAACAGAAUUUGUAGUACAAGACAGUGUGACUCACUCGAAGUUGUAAGGAAGUAGUACAUCUUCAUUGCUAUUGAGGUGCUUCAAGAACUCUAGCAUGUUUUUCUCUACAUCUUGUCUACACCAUUCCAAUUUCCAUGUGUAUUCAUUAACAGUAUUUGGGUCAAUGAACCCAAUGCCAUAGCGUCUAGCUUUUUUCAUUUCAUACAUCUUCAUCCUGCAUAAUACCACAGAAAAGAAUAUAUAGUGAGGAUAUUUAAUUACAGGUAAUUAAUGAUCAAUCAAUGAGCACUAGAGCUAGCUUGAGACUUAAAUUACAGAAAGAAAUCACUUACAGACAAUAGCAACUGACGAUAGAUUUGUCGAGUGCAUCUUGAUUGAAUAACUGAAAUAGUUCUGAAUACUCAACAGUUAGAGCUUUCUUAUUGAAGUAAUGAUCUUCCUUGACUUGCACCAUGAGGGACUCUCAAUUGGAAAUCUUGAUAAUUUUCAUGUACCAAUCAUGCAAUUCAUACAUUCUCGUUGGGAGGUUCUUGACCUCCUCGGGCUCGACCAAAGGUUGGCCCCGGACAUAUUUCCGUUUUAUUUUCUCCUCUCUAAGCAGAGACAUGGGCUCGAUAUCGAGGAGUUGUCCAAUAGUGAUCUUGAGCAUUUCAGCCUGCAUUAUAUGAUCCUCGGUUAUUACCACACCACCCACCUCGGGAACGUAAAUGGUUGCGCCGCCUGUUCUCCCAGCUGGGGAACGGUUUUCCCGUAUUUUUUGACAGCUGCUUGUUGGCUCGAGCUCGAGCUCGCUUCUUUCCGUAGUCGUGCUCGAUGUGCCUUUCUGAUUUGGCGCUCAUAGUCUGAGUCAACAGGCUUGGGAGCUGGUGGCCUAGCCAUACGAAUGAAGUGGUCAAUAUUUUUCCUCAGGCACUUUCUCCCUCGGCGGCGUUGCCGGUUUCGGUCCAAAAUGGGCGUCCACUUGGGCCUUCACUAUGGCUGCAUUUUGCUCCUCGGUCAUGUUGUAAGGCCUCUGAGGAAGAGGAGCGAGGCUGCUUGGACCAUAUUUAUAUCGCUUGUCUCCGCCUGUACUUCCUGUACUACCUUGACUCGUACCACUACGCACCAUAGCUGCGGCGUGUCUCUUCUGCGAUUGCUGAGGCGGCGGAGACGGCUGACGUUGCUGAGUUGGAGCAGGAGGAGUGGCCUGACGCUGUGCCAGACUUGAAGCAGGAGGUGUGGCCACUAGUAGAAAAAGGGUCAAAUGUGAAGCACAUUAGUGCCGGUUUGUGAAAAAACCGGCACUAAUGUGAUCAAUAGUACCGGUUCGUGGCGGCGAUCAAUAGUAUCGGUUCGUGACGAACCUUUAGUACCGGUUCAUGCCACGAACGGUACUAAAGAGGAUGUGGCAGCCUGCAGUCAGGCUAUGGCCCCACCAUCACCAUUUAGUGCCGGUUCGUACCACGAACCAGUACUAAUGAGGUUAUGGCAAGCUGUUUUUAGUCCCACCUCGCUCCCCUAACAAGGCUUUUACCACCUUAAAUAUGUUACUUCUCAAACUAUCACAAGCACUUGGUCUUCAUUGAACUCUAUGUGUAGAAUUUGUGGCUGCAAUAUGAGUCUUCACCGGUUUAUAAAUCGUUGAGGACUCAUAUUGACAAUUCAGAUUGUACACAAAAAGAUCAUUGAUGAUCAAAGUAUUUUUAAUGUAUAAGAUCAUAGUGACAAUUCAGACUGUAAAGAAAUAUAAUAUCAUAAUCUAAAUGCUCUUAUAUUUUUUGCAUUCAGUAUGCACCAUUCAAAGCGACGCCAUCAACUUUCAACCAUUUAUGCCUUCAUUUGCUAUUUUUCAUGCAUUUAAUGAUUUGUUUUGAGAACUAAAUAACCUGGAAAUUGAAAAGCACUACAAAUGAACUCUGAAAAAGUUGAAACUUGGCAUGGUAUCAUCAUUUCACCCACAUAGCAUGUCCAAAAAAGUAGAGAGGGUUAUGGCAAAAACUGGAUGCACUUCGUUUACAAACUGGACAAUCUCUUUCGAAGUAUUUGGGUUUUGACGAAAUUAAACUCAUCUGUUACAAAGGCAUUUCAUUUUUUAAACUUAUUACAACCCCAGACUUUUUGUUCAUUAGUAUGCACUAUUCAACUACUAGGCGGGAGGAGCUCUUUAGUACCGGUUCCAACUGCUAAGCGGGAGGAGCUCUUUAGUACCGGUUCGUGGCGAACCUUUAGCACCGGUUCGUGCCACGAACUGGUACUAAUAAGGUUGUGUUAGGUAAGGCUGGGGCCCCACGAGCACCUUUAUUACGGGUUCAUGGCAUGAACCAGUACUACAGUUUCUUAGAAAGCUGUUUUUUAGUCCCACCUCGCGAAGAGAGAGGGACUAGGAGCGGUUUAUAAGCCCUGAGUGCAGAGACGAUGAAGAAGAGGCUCAAUGCUCACGUUGCUUAGCUUCAAGCCUUGAGGAAUAUGGUAGACUGCAUGGAGCUAUGUGCAAUGCAGUUUACACUAUUCCGAAAGGCUUGAAACUAAUUAACGAGCAUUGCAUCUCUUUUUUAUUUUUAAUAACUUAUUACAACUCCGGACUUCUUCUGUUAUGGCAAAAACUAGAUGCACUUCGUGUACAAACUGGACAAUCUCUUUUAAAGUAUCAGGGCCGGUUUCAGACGAAAACUCUGGUUAUAACUCCAGACUUUGACCAUCAAGUUUUAACCAUCAACUUGGCAUGGUAUAUGAAAAUAAAUGAAUAGAAGAAAAUAAAUAAAGCAGAAAAGAAAAAAACUAUAGCAGAAAAUAAAAAACUAUAUAAAAAACUACUCAGAAAUAAAUAGAAGAAAAUAAAUAUAGCAGAAAAGAAAAAAACUAUUCAGAAAUAAAUAGAAGAAAAAAUAAAGCAGAAAAGAAAAAAAACUAUAUUUGCUAUUUUUCAUUCGUUUACUGAUUUUUUUAGAGAGCCAAAUGACCGUGAAAUUAAAAAUCACUACAAAAUAAACUCUGAAAAUGUUGAAUUUUGGCAAACUAGAUAAAAAACUACUCACAAAUAAAUAGAAGAAAAUAAAUAUAACAGAAAAGAAAAAACUAUACAAAAAACUACGCAGAAAUAAAUAGAAGAAAAUAAAGCAGAAAAUAAAAAAACUAUACAAAAAAAUUGGGGCGCUGCCCAAUGGGCCUGCUAGGCCACGGGCGUGCAAUUACAGGCCCUAACGGCCCAACAGGCUCACAGGGCAGCGCACAGAAGUUAGGCCCAGAAGCCUGCUAUAUAUAGGAGUUCAAAGAGGCAGCCGCGGCUGGGUUUAUAAACCAGUGAGGCUGCCCUUCGCACGGGGAGAUGGGACUAAACGUCGUGCACCGCGGGUGGCAGCGCAAGGCCUUUAGUAUCGGUUGGUGGCUCCAACCGGUACUAAAGCUCGUGCCUUUAGUACCGGUUGGAGUCACCAACCGAUACUAAAGGCCAUCGGUUCCCGUCGUUUGGCCUGGCGAAAAUAGGCCUUUAGUACCAGUUGGAGGCACCAACCGGUACUAAAGGCCCAUCCUAUAUAUAUAGCACUUACGAAAUUUUCAGUUUCAUCCCCCACUUCGUCUCUCGAACCGCGUGCGCCGCUCGAUCCCCGUCGUGUCGCCGCACGUCGCCCGUCGUCCGUCGUCGUCGUCGCUGUCCCCCGCCGCCGCCCGUCGUCGUCGUCGUCUCACGCCGCUGCCCUGAACGCCGCCGCUGUCUGUCGUCGUCGCCGCGGCGCCGCCCGAUACGUCUCUCCCCGCCCCGUACGCCGACGCCCCUGCCCCCGCCCCGUACGCCGCCGCCCCCGCCCCCGCCCCGUACGCCGGCGCCCCCGCGGCGUACUGCACAUACACACACACGUAUACAUAUACACGCAGUACACACAUAUACACACACAUACACAUACACAUUUUUUUACUAGUUGAAUAAUUUAUAUAAUUAAUAUAACUAGUUUAUUUUAGUAAGAAAAUAAUCGAACUAGUUUAUUUAGGUAUAUGAGAUUUGAACUAGUUGAAUAAUUAAUAUAACUAGUUUAUUUUUAGUAAGAAAAUAGUCGAACUAGUUUAUUUAGGUAUAUGAGAUUUGAACUAGUUGAAUAAUUAAUAUAAAGAAAAUUUAGGUAUCUGAGAUUUGAUGAUCUAAUUAAAAUAUUAUUUGUUAAUGAGUUUUUCUGUUUAUUUAAUUUUUUUUAUAUAUUUUUAGUUUAUAUAAAUGUUAGAUUAAUGUCGAAUGUUAAAUGAAUUAGAUAGAAAAGUUAAAUAUAUAGUAAUGUCAAUUGUUAGAGAUGAAUAUAGUUAGAUAUAUUAAUGUCAAAUGUUAGAUGAAUAUAUAUAUUUGAAUUAGCUAGAUAUUAAUUAAUGUUAGAUAGUAAUAAGUGUUUAAUGUUUCACUUAUAUGAACAUAGGAAAUGUCAUCUGACAACGAAGAAGAUUUCAUUAUGUGCGAACACUNNNNNNNNNNUCUCCUACAUGUUGCCUUGGUGCCUUCGGAGCACGAUGACAAGUGGUUCAUGGGGGCGGUAGCGGGUGAUAGUAUUCUCCUUUGGGAUCUAUAACCUGGUCGAGCAAAAAUCCCGCUAUUUCCUCUUGAAGUGCUCGUAUGCGCUCCUCUGAUAGGAGCUUGUCCCGCACCUAUUUGAACUGUUAAGAAGGAGAUCAAUAUGCAUGUGUAUUAGUUGUGUGACUAGAUAUCGACAAUCAUGUAAGAUUUGUGAAUAUUGUUCUGGCAAACGUACCCAGUCCUGUCUAUCAGAUCUGCUCCUUUCGGACGCCAUCAUGCGAAUGUUCUCGCAAACGUAGUAUGCACACACUUCAGUCUCCGGCGCCUGCUUCAGGGCCUUUACGACAAUAGAAUUUAAUCAGAUAAUAAUUAAUCAAGUAUGUUAAUUAAUUAAUUGUAUUGAAACAAGAAUUAAAGAGAUGGUAGUUAGCUAGCUAGUACUACUUAAUUACUUACCUUGGGUCGAUAUCAACAUAGCUUUUGUCGCCAUUUUCCUGGAGUCACCUUGAUGUACUUUGCCCAAGCCCUGCCCGCCGGCAAAGAAAAUUAAUAAAGGGGUUAUUAAAAAUAGUUCAUAUCAGGAAAUGACGAACUAAAUAGGCUGAGAUAUAGUUAAUAAUGAUUGAAAUAACCUGUCGACUAUCCCCUUCACGAUGCUGUAGUCACUAUUUUUUUAAGUAGUGAGUCCAGUACUUCAACUUUUCCUUCGUCAACUUUAAUGUCUAAUAAGAUCCAGUGGAAGCUGCAUGCGCAUACGUUUGCAUGUAUAAAUUAAACGGGCAUGUGCAUAACACUAAUCAACUAUAACCCUAAACCCUAUACACUUAUUAACAUCUAGCUAGUAAGCAAAAACAGAAUUUGUAGUACAAGACAGUGUGACUCACUCGAAGUUGUAAGGAAGUAGUAUAUCUUCAUUGCUAUUGAGGCGCUUCAAGAACUCUAGCAUGCAUUUCUCUACAUCUUGUCUACACCUUUCCAAUUUUCAUGUGUAUUCAUUAACGGUAUUUGGGUCAAUGAACCCAAUGCCAUAGCGUCCAGCUUUUUUCAUUUCAUACAUCUUCAUCCUGCAUAAUACCACAGAAAAGAAUAUAUAGUGAGGAUAUAUAAUUACAGGUAAUUAAUGAUCAAUCAAUGAGCACUAGAGCUAGCUUGAGACUUAAAUUACAGAAAGAAAUCACUUACAGACAAUAGCAACUGACGAUAGAUUUGUCGAGUGCAUCUUGAUUGAAUAACUGAAAUAGUUUUGAAUACUCAAUGGCCAGAACUUUCUUAUGGAAGUAAUGAUCUUCCUCGACUUGCACCAUGAGGGACUCUCGAUUGGAAAUCUUGGUAAUUUUCAUGUACCAAUCAUGCAAUUCAUACAUUCUCGUUGGGAGGUUCUUGACCUCCUCGGGCUCGACCAAAGGUUGGCCCCGGACAUAUUUCCGUUUUAUUUCCUCCUCUCUAAGCGGAGGCAUGGGCUCGAUCUCGAGGAGUUGUCCAACAGUGAUCUUGAGCAUUUCAGCCUGCAUUAUAUGCUCCUCGGUUAUUACCACAUCGCCCAGCUCGGGAACGUAAACGGUUUGCCCACAAUAAUAUUGGGCGCGCGUACUCUCAUGUGUUGUUGGCACAACAAGCGAGGGGGGGGGGGUGGUCGAUUGCGCCGCCUGUUCUCCCAGCUGGGGAACGGUUUUCCCGCAUUUUUUGACAGCUGCUUGUUGGCUCGAGCUCGAGCUUGCUUCUUUCUGUAGUCGUGCUCGAUGUGCCUUCUUGAUUUGGCGCUCAUAGUCUGAGUCAACAGGCUUGGGAGCUGGUGGUCUAGCCAUACGAAUGAAGUGGUCAAUCUUUUCCUCAGGCACUUUCUCCCUCGGCGGCGUUGCCGGUUUCGGUCGAAAAUGAGCGUCCACUUGGGCCCACACUAUUGCAUCGUUUUGCUCCUCGGUCAUGUCGUAAGGCCUCUGAGGAAGAGGAGCGAGGCUGCUUGGACCAUAUUUAUAUCGCUUGUCUCCGCCUGUACUUUCUGUACUACCUCGACUCGUACCGCUACGCACCAUAGCUGCGGCGUGUCUCUUCUGCGAUUGCUUAGGCGGCGGAGACGGCUGACGUGGCUUAGUUGGAGCAGGAGGAGUGGCCCGACGCUGUGCCGGACUUGAAGCAGGAGGUGUGGCCUGACACGGUGUCGGACUUGAAGCAGGAGGUGUGGCCUGACGCCGUGCCGGACUUGAAGCAGGAGGUGUGGCCUGACACGGUGGCGGACUUGGAGGAGCGGGAGUCUGCUGACACGGUGGCGGACUUCGAGGAGGAGUCGGCAGACGCGGUGUCGGUGGACUUCGAAAGAUGAUGCAAUCCUUUUUCCAUAGGAUGAAACGAUGUAUGGCCUCUCCCAGUGUUUGCUCGUCGUCACCUCCAGGAAUGUCAAGCUCUAGCCCCGAAUAUGGGCCCACCACCUCAUCAACCAAGACACGAGCAUAGCCCUCUGGAAUCGGGGCACAAUGGAAGGUUGCUCCGGGGGUAAUUGUAAAAGCAACGGCGUUCGCCACCUUCAUGGAUAUGUUCUUCAUUUUGUAGUGUAGCUCACAGUUAGUGUUCUCUAUGAUGUCAUCCACAGGGUAUGUAUCCAGCAGUGCGUCGCCCGGGGCGGAACCAACGCUGCUUCUCGGCAUGGAUGGGACGGCGCUAUCCAAUGCUGGAUGAUCAUCCGCUUGCUGCUGCCGCUGCUGAGACCCCCUUUCCUGGCUAAGUGAGUCGAUCUGCUGCUGUUGCUGCUGCUGGAAUUUGAGUGCCAAGUCCGCGUGCCUUGCUUCUAGGCCUUGAAGGCGUUCCGCGUCCUGCUUCCUCUGCUCCUCCUCCAGCUUCCUCUUCUUCUCCUCCUCCAUCUUCUUUCUUGCACGGGUCCUGUAGUCGUCGUUCCAUUCCGAAAAGCCCUCAUACCAGGGAAUAACGCCCUUGCCUCGCGUUCUUCCCGGGUGUUCAGGAUUUCCCAGGGCACGCGUAAGCUCGUCGUUCUCUCUGUUGGGCGUGAACACCCCCUUUCGAGCAUCUUCUAUUGCGUCAAGUAACUUUUCUUCUGCUCCGUUUAGACUUGCCUUCUUCGAAACCAGGCCUGUCUUCGGGUCCAACGCCCCCCCAUGCGCAUAGAACCAAGUUCUGCACCUGGGGGGCCAGCUCCUAGUAACCGGAGUGACCCCUGCAUCCUCCAUCUCUUGCUCAGACUUAUCCCACUUAGGCAUUGCCACCGCGUAGCCACCUGGACCCAGCCUAUGGAACUGCGUCUUUUUUGCGGCAUUGGCCUUGUUUUUUCUCGACGUUCCUUAGAUAAUUCUGAUUCCUUGAAUUUCACGAAAGCGGGCCAGUGUUCUCUUUGCUUCUCCAGUGUUCCCUUGAAUUCUGGAGUCUUCCUUUCUGCAGUGAGGUAGUUGGCCCAUACAGUUUUCUUGUGGGUGUUGAAUGCAAUUGCCAUCUUCUUAAGAGCAGCGUCCUUGACUUUCUGCACAUCUGCAUCAGUGAAAUAAUCUGAUAGGGUGAAAUGUUCCAUCAGAGAUUUCCAAAGCUUUUGUUUUGCUCUGUCGUCGACCCAAGUAAUAUCUGGGCGUUUAGUUUUUGGCUCUUUCCAUUCUUGAAUGGAGAUCGGGAUUUGGUCCUUCACAAGAACUCCGCACUGACGAACGAACUUGCUCGCAAUGUUCUUAGGCGUGAGGGGUUCGCCACUAGCUUUGAUGGAAUCGAUGUUGUACUUUACACCCUCCUUCAACUUUUUGCUCGGGCCGCGCUUUGUCCUGCUGUCUGUAGAAGCAGAUUUGCUCGAUCCGGAGGGCUGAAAGAAGAAAGAUCGAUUCGUUAAUAUAUCUUCAAAUAAAAAAACAUGUGAUGAUCACUAGAUGACUGCUUAUAUAAAUAUACCUCGCCGGUAGUCUUUGUUAUUUCAAGAUCAACAUUGUAUUCGUCAUCAUAAUCAUUGUCUGCGUCAUCAUAAUCAUAAUCAUAGUUCAUGACUUCAUCAGCUCGGUCGUCGAGAUUGAAUAUCUUAUCAUCACCCUCCCCGGUAUUGUUCAGAUAUUGGGAGCCGUCAUUUGCUUCAUUUAGAUCAUCUGGCCUGCUAGGGCUGCGUAUGAUCUCGAACAGGGCCUCUUCUCCCUCUCUGCCGGUAUUGUCCGCCAUAGCUUUUAUUUAACUAAUACAAAAGAAAUAUAAAACAAUUAAGUAUUCAAAUUACAAUGCAUGGAUGCAAUCAAUAAGGAAAAACUGAAUCAUAUAGUACAUAAUAUGCAUCGUCUCGAAUAAUAUAUAAUCUCGAAUACAUCGUCUCGAAUAAUAUAUAAUCUCAAAUACAUCACUGGCUAGGUAGCUAAUAAAGAUCGAAUACUAUAGAAGAAUCUAGGCCACUCGCGGUUCCUGGGGCGCGGGCGGUGGACACCCAAAGACAAGGAACCAUCACAGAAUCAUAUCUCUGGUCAUCUGCCCAAAGAACCUGCCAGGUAUUGGAGAACCUGACGUCCAUAGCAGCCAUGUAGCGAUGGACGUGCUCGUCCUCCUCCCUGACACGACGACGCACCACCUCUGGCGGGGCCGGCUCCCUCUGCACCGAAUGUGGCCCACGCGAACGCCACUAAAGGAGAUCAGGGUCGACAACGGGACCCGAGGCUGGGUCCCUCACCAAGCGGCGCGCCCCUCCAGGUAGCACCUCCCAAUGCCAGCCCGGCGGAGCCCAAUCCCGGACAUGGGUCAGCCGGACGUCGUCGCGAACGGGUCGACGGCGAGGAUGCAGGCCGGGCAUCGUCGAGAACAAAUACUAUAUGCCCGCAAAAAGUAACAUUUUUUAAAAGAUUGGAUUGUGAUAACUAAAAUUCUAUAUGCAAAUUCUAACAAUUUGACAUUAAUCUAAUUCAUCUAACUAAAACUAAUUCUAAAAUUUCUAACAUUUCUAUAUAUAUAACUAACAUUUCUAUAACAUUUCUAAUAUUUCUAUAACUAAAAAACAGAAAAAUUGCUACGAUGACGCGGAUGGCGACGAGGGGGGCAGCGACGGGGGCGGCGACGACGGGGACGGGGACGGCCGGGGCGGCGACAACGGNNNNNNNNNNNNNNNNNNNNNNNNNNNNNNNNNNNNNNNNNNNNNNNNNNNNNNNNNNNNNNNNNNNNNNNNNNNNNNNNNNNNNNNNNNNNNNNNNNNNNNNNNNNNNNNNNNNNNNNNNNNNNNNNNNNNNNNNNNNNNNNNNNNNNNNNNNNNNNNNNNNNNNNNNNNNNNNNNNNNNNNNNNNNNNNNNNNNNNNNNNNNNNNNNNNNNNNNNNNNNNNNNNNNNNNNNNNNNNNNNNNNNNNNNNNNNNNNNNNNNNNNNNNNNNNNNNNNNNNNNNNNNNNNNNNNNNNNNNNNNNNNNNNNNNNNNNNNNNNNNNNNNNNNNNNNNNNNNNNNNNNNNNNNNNNNNNNNNNNNNNNNNNNNNNNNNNNNNNNNNNNNNNNNNNNNNNNNNNNNNNNNNNNNNNNNNNNNNNNNNNNNNNNNNNNNNNNNNNNNNNNNNNNNNNNNNNNNNNNNNNNNNNNNNNNNNNNNNNNNNNNNNNNNNNNNNNNNNNNNNNNNNNNNNNNNNNNNNNNNNNNNNNNNNNCGGGGGCGGCGGGCGACGGGGCAGAGGAGAAGAAGCAGAUGAAAACUGACGAAAUUUCUAAGUGCUGCUUAUAUAGGAUGGGCCUUUAGUACCGGUUGGAGCCACCAACCGGGACUAAAGGUCAAAUUUGGCCAGCCCAAGCGGCGGGAAGCGCACCCCUUUAGUACCGGGUGGUGGCACCAACCGGUACUAAAGACCCCCCUUUAGUACCGGUUGGAGCCACCACCCGGUACUAAAGGGUGUGCGCUGCUAGGCGAGGGGCGCAGAAGUUUAGUCCCACCUCGCUAGUUGAGGAGCGCCAGGACCAGUUUAUAAGCCCCGAUGCGGGCACUGCAUUGAGCUCCUCUCAAUAGUAGGCCUUCUGGGCCUACCUCUCCUACUCUGCCUGUGGGCCUACUGGGCUUGCGGGCCUGCAUCCUGGCCCAACUACAGGUUGGGUUUCUAGUCGUAUGCAGGCCGCUCUGGCCGAGUAGGUGGGCUUUUUUAUUUUCUUUUUUUUUUACUUUAUUUAUUUUUGAGUUGUUUUUUGCUGUAUUUAGAGUUUCUUUGGGAAUAUUUUUGCUUUAGGUACAAAAAAUUACAAAGUUUCUGUUAAUGCCGGUAGUUUACAAAUUUGAAUAGUUUAUAUUUUGAAUUAUUUGAAAUUUGUGUGAAUCACUAGUUUGUGAAUAACUUAACUUUGAAAAUAGAUUUUCAGUGAUUCUUUUAUCUUAUGUUUAAUAUUAGUGUGUUUUAUCAUUAUAUUCAAUUUGGUAAUGCUUAGGUUAUUUAAAAAAUGAAAUCCCUUUGUAACGGAUGAGUUUUUGUCCGAAACCCUGAUACUUCGAAAGAGAUUGUCCAUUUUAUACACGAAGUGCAUCCAGUUUUUGCGGUAACCCUCUCUAUUUUUUUGCACAUGCUAUAUGGGUGAAAUUAUGAUACCAUGCCAACUUUCAACCUUUUCUGAGUUCAUUUGAAAUGCUUUUCAAUUUCAGGGUCAUUUAGCUGAAAAAAUCAGUAAAUGCAUGAAAGAAUUUGUUUGCACAUAAAAUUUCUUCGCGUUUCAAAUGUCAAAACACAUAACUACCCUAACUAUUACAGAGAUUCCUUCCUGGGUGUGAAACACAGAAGAAAUUGAUGAUAGUGAAGCCGAUCACAUCCCAGAUCUUUGGGUGUGUAACUUUUUCUUCGCAUAUGUCCCUUUGCGCCGUAGCCAUGGAAAAUCUUCAUCAUUUAACUGGAUGCUCGGGUCAAUAUUCACUGUGAAUGGAGCAAUUUCAUCAAUCUUUUCAUAAUCUUCUGACAUGUCUGUCUUGUCAUCCACUCCCACGAUGUUUCUCUUCCCAGAAAGAACUAUGUGGCGCUUUGGCUCAUCGUAUGAUGUAGUCGCUUCCUUGUCUUUUCUUUUUCUCGGCUUGGUACACAUAUCCUUCACAUAGAAAACGUGUGCCACAUCAUUAGCUAGGACGAAUGGUUCAUCUGCAUACGCAAGAUUGUUGAGAUCUACUGUUGUCAUUCCAUACUGCGGGUCUUCCGUUACCCCAUAUCGUGUCAUAUUGACCCAUUUGCACCGAAACAAAGGGACCUUCAAAUCACGUCCAUAGUCAAGUUCCCAUAUCUCCUCUAUGUAACCAUAAUAUGUUUCCUUUCCCGUCUUGGUUGUUGCAUCAAAGCAGACACCACUGUUUUGGUUGGUGCUCUUCUUAUCUUGGGCGAUCGUGUAAAAUGUAUUACCAUUUAUCUCGUACCCUUUGAAAGUCAUUAUAUUCGUAGAUGGUAACUAGGACAGCGAGUACACAUCAUCUUCAAUAGAGGCGUCAUGCAUGGUACGUGUCUGCAACCAGCCGGCGAAACUCCUGGUUUGUUCACGUGUAAUCCAGUCAUCAGACCGCUCCGGGUGUUUGGAGCGUAGAAAAUUCUUGUGUUCGUCCAUAUACGGAGCCACCAAGGCGGAAUUCUGUAUAACUGUGUAGUGUGCUUCAGUGAGAGAAUGUCCGUCCAUACAUAUUUUUUGAUUCCCUCCUAGCGUGCCUUUUCCAUCUAGUCUGCCCUUAUGCCGCGAUUCAGGAACACCAAUCGGCUUAAGGUCAGGAAUAAAGUCAAUACAAAACUCAAUGACCUCCUAAUUUUCAUGGCCCUUGGAGAUGCUUCCUUCUGGCCUAGCACGGUUAUGAACAUAUUUCUUUAAGACUCCCAUGAACCUCUCAAAGGGGAACAUAUUGUGUAGAAAUACAGGACCCAAAACACUAAUCUCUUCGCAUAGGUGAACUAGGACGUGCGUCAUGAUGUUGAAGAAGGAUGGUGGGAACACCAACUCAAAACUGACAAGACUAAUCGAACGUUGAGGAAUGCACGCAUAGCUUCACAAUGGCUAAUCGAACGUUAUCCGGUAGAAGCCCCCUCAAUGCAACCGGAAGCAGUUGCGUCAUAAUCACGUGGCAGUCAUGAGACUUUAGGUUCUGGAACUUUUUCUCUGCCAUGUUUAUUAUUCCCUUUAUAUUCGACGAGAAGCCAGACGGUACCUUAAUACUGAGCAGACAUUCAAAGAAGAUUUCCUUCUCUUCUUUGGUAAGAGCGUAGCUGGCAUGACCCUGAUGUAUGCCGUCUUUUCCAUGCAUACGUUGCUAGUCCUCCCGUGCCUCAGGUGUAUCUUUUGUCUUCCCAUACACGCCCAAGAAGCCAAGCAGGGUCACGCAAAGAUUCUUCGUCACGUGCAUCACGUCGAUUGCAGAGCGGACCUCUAGAUCUUUCCAAUAGGGCAGGUCCCAAAAUAUAGAUUUCUUCUUCCACAUGGGUGCGCGUCCGUCAGCAUCAUUCGGAACAGGUUGUCCGCCAGGACCCUUUCCAAAGACUACCUUCAAAUCCUUGACCAUAUCAUGUACAUCAGCACCAGUACGGUGGCGAGGCUUCGUCCGGUGAUCCGCCUCACCUUUGAAAUGCUUGCCUUUCUUUCUUACGGGAUGCCUGCUCGGAAGAAAUCGACGAUGUCCUAGGUACACAUUCUUCCUACAAUUGUCCAAAUAUAUACUGUCGGUAUCAUCCAAACAGUGCGUGCAUGCGCGGUAUUCCUUGUUUGUCUGUCCUGAAAGGUUACUGAGAGCAGGCCAAUCAUUGAUGGUCACGAACAGCAAGGCCUUUAGGUCAAAUUCUUCCCCCAAGUGCUCAUUCCACGCACGUACACCUGUUCCAUUCCACAGCUGUAAGAGUUCUUCAACUAAUGGCCUUAGGUACACAUCAAUGUCGUUGCCGGGUUGCUUAGGGCCUUGGAUGAGGACUGGCAUCAUAAUGAACUUCCACUUCAUGCACAACCAAGGAGGAAGGUUAUACAAACAUAGAGUCACAGGCCAGGUGCUAUGGUUGCUGCUCUGCUCCCCAAAAGGAUUAAUGCCAUCUGCGCUUAGACCAAACCAUACGUUCCUUGCGUCAUCUGCAAACUCCUUCCCGUACUUUCUCUCAAUUUUUCUCCACUGCGACCCGUCAGCGGGUACUCUCAACUUUCCGUCUUUCUUACGGUCUUCUCUGUGCCAUCGCAUCGCCUUGGCAUGCUCUUUGUUUUGGAACAAACGUUUCAACCGUGGUAUUAUAGGAGCAUACCACAUCACCUUGGCAGGAAUCUUCUUCCUGGGGCACUCGCCCUCGACAUCACCAGGGUCAUCGCGCCUGAUCUUAUAGCGCAAUGCACCGCAUACCGGGCAAGCGUUCAAAUCCUCGUACUCACCGCGGUAGAGGAUGCAGUCAUUAGGGCAUGCAUGUAUCUUCUGCACCUCUAACCCUAGAGGGCAGACAGCCUUCUUUGCUUCGUACGUACUCUCGGGCAAUUCGUUGUCCUUUGGAAGCAUAUUCUUUAUCAUUACCAGCAACUUUCCAAAUCCCUUGUCAGAUACACCAUUCUCUGCCUUCCAUUGCAGCAAUUCCAGUGUGGUGCCCAACUUUUUCUUGUCAGCUUCGCAAUUCGGGUACAACAAUUUCUUGUGAUCCUCUAACAUGCGCUGCAACUUCUUCUCCAAAUCACUUGCGCAGUUUCUCUUUGCAUCGGCAAUGGCCCGACCUAGAUCAUCAGCGGGCUCAUCUGAUGCCUCUUCUUCAGCUUCUUCCCGCAUUGCCGGCUCAGCUUCUUCCCUCAUUGUUGUAUCAUCGUAUUCAGGGAACCCAUGGCCAGGAUAGUUGUCGUCGUCCUCUUCUUCUUCAUUGUCUUCCAUCAUAACCCCUCUUUCUCCGUGCUUGGUCCAAACAUUAUAGUGGGGCAUGAAACCAGGACUUAAACAGGUGGACGUGAAUGGUUCUUGACGUAGAGUAAUUGUGAUCAUUCUUACAGACUAAACAUGGACAAGGCAUAAAACCAUCCGCCCGCUUGUUUGCCUCAGCCGCAAGCAGAAAAGUUUGCACGCCAUUAAUGAACUCGGGAGAGCAUCGGUCAUCGUUCAUCCAUUGUCGGCUCAUCUUCAUUACACAACACCGAAUAGACCAAAUUAAUACAAGUUCAUACAUAAAGUUCAUACAAGCCUUAAAUGCAACAAACAAAUAACUCUCUAACUAAAAAAUUUAAAUGCAACAACAAAUGCGAUCAAGAUCGCAACUAAGGUGACAAUUGAUCCAACAACAUAAUGAUACCAAGCCUCACUAUCAAUGGCAUAUUUUCUAAUCUUUCUAAUCUUCAAACGCAUUUUCUCCAUCUUGAUCUUGUGAUCAUCGACGACAUCGGCAACAUGCAACUCCAAUUCCAUCUUCUCCCCCUCAAUUCUUUUCAAUUUUUCUUUCAAAUACUCGUUUUCUCUUUCAACUAAAUUUAACCUCUCGACAAUAGGGUCGGUUGGAAUUUCCGGUUCACAAACCUCCUAGACAAAAAUAUCUAUGUCAACUUGAUGGGCAUAAUUUGUCAUAAACACGAAAUGCAACAACUAGUUUUAAAAGAGAAUAUACCACAUCCGAAUCAUAAUAAGGAUGAGGGCCGACGGGGACGGAUAUCAAAACCAUGGCACUAUGUAUAACAAACAAUGUACGGGUAAGAUAAUUAUACGAGUAACUAUAUAUCCAAAUCACACAAACAUCAAUUUGGUAAUGUAAAACAUUCAUGAACAAGAGGCUCACCACAAGGUGGUGCCGGCGACGGAACGGUGUGGGCGAUCGACUGUGGUUACGAUAGAGAUUUAGAAGGCACUAAGUAAACCACACCUACAUAUGCAAACUAAGUGUUAGUUUUGACCACAAAUUGCAUAUAAGUCAAAUACUAGCACAUAUAUUUUCUACCAAAUUACUAAACUCAUAAAUUAAUCACUAUACAAAGCAUUGCAAGAGCUAAUCUAGCAAUGAGAGAUGAAAGGACAAAGUUGCUAACCUUUGUGGUCAUUUGAAUGGAUGGGGGCCUUCAAAUCUUGACAAAUUUUGGGCAAAAUGUGUGAUGAGCUCGAGAGGAAGAGGGGAAGAACAUAGAGGAGAGGGGAAAGGGGAAGAACAGAGCGAGCUCGGGUGGACGAAAGGCUUAUGUACGACGACCUUUAGCAUCGGUUCGUGCCACGAACCGGUACUAAAGGUGCUGGAGGGGCCCCGGACUGACAACAUCCUUCCACCUCUCACUUUAGUACCGGUCCGUAGCACGAACCGGUGCUAAAGGUCGGCCACGAACCAGUACUAAUGAAAGCAGCUGGCUAGCCGUUGGAACCGGCACUAAUGCACACAUUAGUGCCGGCUCAAAAGCAAACCGGCACUAAUGUGCUUGACAUUUGACCCUUUUCUACUAGUGAUUCAAGUAAAUAGAUGCCUAAUGCAUGUUGAAAUAAAAGUUUGCUUUACAUUCUGUUUGCACAAUUGUGUUUUUUACAAAGUCUUUAAAACAAGACCAAUAUUGAAUAUAUUUUUAGAAAUUAAUUUUUGACAACUAAAUCACCAUGCUUCGAACUUGUUCCAUACAUAUUUAUUAAUUCCAUGUGAAAAUUUUAAUAAUGUACAUUUCACAAAUUAUUAUCUUAUUGUUUCACUAUGGCUCCCCAUGUUCCGUUGCAUUUCAUAAUGAUACAUUGUGUGCCAAUGUGUAUCAAACUGAUUCUUAGUAAUCUAAAAGUUUGUAAAUAUUAAUAUAUUUUAUUGCAACAAAACUUUGGCCUUAUCUAGUGUUUAACAAAACAUGGCAUAGUUAUGUGUACUCUUAUAGUGUUUCACUAUGUUUCAGAAUUUAAAUUUUAAAAAUUAUUGAAAUAUAUUCAAAAGUGGUCUCUUUUCAAAGGUCUCGUUGUCAAAAACACAAAUAUGAAACCGGAUCAUAAAUUGUACUUUUGGUUCAUAAGACCAAUUAGAUUUGAACUUGGAAAUAAAAUGAAAAAGUAUGAAAUGGUGGAACGUAGGUGGAACAGUGUACUUGCAUGUGAUGAAAGAAAUAACUAACUAACUGCCAGCGGUAUAAAUGCAUGGCAUCGGAUCUCCAAACAAACCAACGGCGCAUGCAUGCACGGUACCUCCCGUGCAUGGGAGAUUAGCUUUUCUCUAUUUUGGGGGAUACUGUGCCAGUUCAGACUUGGCGUUUGGCAGCGUGGCCUGUUCAUGUGUUUGAUUGGGCGUAGUAGUGUGUGGGUACUUCAGUUAGAUGGUAUGCAGCGGAUCGAGUCUAUCGACCGUGUGGCGAUGCCUGUAGAUUGUAGCACUAAAAUAUGAUGCUCAUUCAUAAACUAAUUUAGAUAAAGCCGCAAAAAAAAUGUGCUAGUUUUUUUUUGUGCUCACAUACUCUGUUUUGUCUCAGUUUUAGUCCAGGGCAACUUUGAAGCUUAUCUUAGGGUGGUAGCCAGAAAAAUGUGUUAAAGACCUUAUUAAGAAGUGAAGAAGAAUAGGCGUCUCCAGUUUUUGUUUCUCCAACUCUAUGCCUACACUGUAAUAUUAUUGAUGGAUUAGCUCCAGUUGAUGCAACUGUACUCUUUCUGGUAGGUCUGAGAUGCGAGUGAGCCAGAUCGAUCCUGAGCUAGCUACUUGUCUCCCUUAAGUCUUACAGCAAGACAAAUGCACUGGACUACAAAGAGGAAAUUCCUGCAGGUUCGUAAUGCAUCUGUUUUGGUUCUGGCAUUUGUCAGAUGUGUAUAGUCCCUUUUCGGUUCUUUCCCGUUGUAUAAGGGGUUUCCUGCAUUUCACCACACAUGUAUAUGUAAUGGCCUUUGACCCUCAGUGAAUACUAGUUGCUGUUUAUCCAACAUGGUAUCAGAUGUUAGGUUCCUCUCUCUCCUGCACGCUGCAACUCCGUGCUAGCUCGCCUCCCCUGAUUCGCUUCGUCCCCUUGCCAUCCGGCUGAUGCUGCUCUCUGGCCGAUUCCGGCUGCCCCCGACCUGAGCUCCGCCCGGUCCUCCUCGUCGUGGAUCCGCCGGGGCCUGCUCGAUCCGGCCUCCCCGGCCUAUCCACGGCCAGGCUCGGCCACCCCUCGCCGCGGAUCCAACCGGGACCUGCUCGUCCCGUGCUCGGCCGUAGCCCUCCUUGCCGCUCGGCCACCCCGCGGAUCCGCCUAUGCCCGACCGGGGCCCUCCUCGCCGUGGAUCCGGUCUCUCCGGCCCGUCCAAUGCCAGGCUCGGCCCGGCCGCCGCCGCCUCCUGCCGGCCGGCCGCCGUCGCCCCUUUCUCCGCCUCGCCUUGGAUCCGGCCGGGGUCUGCUCGUCCCGUGCUCGUCGGGUCCUUGCUUGGCCGCUCGUCUGCCUGGCCGCUCGUCCCGUGCUCCUGCACUCGGGUUCGGCCCUCUGUGGUCAAUGUGUGUUGCCUAUAGUUGACCCUGUGUAAAAAAACCCAAUGAGCUCGUCAUGUCUCCGUCAGGCUAUGUGGCUGUUCCUCGGUGCUCGGUGAUCUUCGAUGGCACCAACUAUGCUGAGUUUGUGGGUUUCAUGCGCAUUCACAUGCGUGGUCUUCUCCUGUGGGGCGUUCUCUCUGGCGAGGUUCCAUGUCCGCCUUGCCCUGUUGCUCCUGUGGCUCCUAUCCCGCCGGUGCCGCCUGUUCUUGCUGUUGAUGCUUCUCAGGCUGAUCGGGAUACAGCCAAGGCCCUUGACGAUGCCGCGGUUGAUGCUUAUGAUCAGCAGGUAUCCGCCUACUCAGAUGCUCUUUCUGCUUACCGAAACGAUUUGUCUGCUUACACUCAGUGGUGCAACGAUGAUGCUCGAGCUACUGCUGUUCUCACUUCGAGUGUCUUACCUCAGUUUGCAUCUGAGUUCAUGGGUCUCAGUAUUGUUGCUGCGAUGUGGUCCUAUCUUUGUCAGUGAUAUCAGCCCUCUGGUGAUGCUCUCUACUUAUCUGUGGUGCAUCAGGAGCACGCUCUUCACCAGGGUGACCCUUCUGUUGAUGAGUUCUACUCACAGAGCUCUGCCAUCUGGCGCCAGAUUGACUCUCUCAGGAUAGUUGUUUGUGGUUCUUGCCGUUGUUGCCAGACUGUACGGUCAGACUUGGAGUUUCAUCGUCUCCAUGAGUUCUUAUCUCACCUUCAUCCAGAGUUUGAGCCUCGGCGUGCUCACCUGCUUGCUCGUGGUCGUGUUCCUAUUUUGGAGGUGCUUGUAGAGCUUCCUGCCGAGGAGACACGCCUCCGUUCUGCUGGUCUGCUUGUGGUUCCCACUGUGCUUGCUGCCCGAGCUCCUGUGUCGUCUGCUCGCCUCACCACUCGACCACUCCUGCCCACACCUCCAGGGGGUGGUUCACCCUCCUUCAGGCGAGGGUCGAUCGCGCUCGCACACCUUCCGUGGCUACUGCAACAGGCCAGGUCACCCAAAGUCUGAUUGUCACAAGAAGCGGAAAGACCUGAAGCGCUCUUCUUCUAGUGGGACUCGUGCGUCUUCCUCGACUUCGUCGCUCAUUGACCAGGAUAUUGUGCGGCUCAAGCGCAUGUUGGCUUCCUCUGGUUCUUCCUCGACGGGUUCUGUUGCCGCUGUGACUACCACUACCACUCCGCCGCCGUCGGAGCCUACUCAGUGAGGUACAUCCUCGUGGGUUCUGGAUUCUGGAGCUUCUUUCCAUAUGUCUUUUGACUCUUCUGCUUUAUCUUCUCUUCGACCUCUUGAUUUUCCUCUUAAUGUUCUCACUGCCGAUGGCACACCCCUUCCUGUUACUAGUCGUGGCAUUCUUUCCACUCCGUCUUUUUCGGUUCCUAGUGUUUCUCAUGUUCCUCGUCUUACCAUGAAUCUUUUUUCCGCUGCCCAACUUACUGAUUCUGGUUGUCGUGUCAUUCUUGAUGCCGACUCUUGUUCUGUUCAGGAUCGUCGCACUCAGGCUCUGGUUGGCGCUGGCCCUCGGCGCGGUGAGUCUAAGGGACUUUGGGAGGUUGACUGGCUUCGUGUUCCUUCCGCUGCUACCACAUACACCAGCUCUCAUGCUCUUGUUGCCUCCUCUUCUGCGUCCUUCCAGCAGUGGCAUCAUCGACUUGGUCACAUCUGUGGCUCUCGCUUGUCCUCCUUAGUUCACCAAGGCGUCUUAGGGUCUGUCUCUGGUGAUGUUUCGUUGCAUUGUGAUGGUUGUAGGCUUGGAAAACAGACUCAGUCACCUUAUCCUACCAGUGAGUCUAUAUCUCAGCGUCCUUUUGACUUAGUUCAUUUUGAUGUAUGGGGUCCUGCUCCUUUUGACUCGAAAGGGGGUCAUCGCUAUUAUGUUUUGUUUAUUGAUGAUUUCUCUCUCUACACUUGGCUUUAUUGUAUGAAAUCUCGCAGCGAGGUUCUCCCCAUAUACAAGCGUUUUGCUGCCAUGGUUCGCACUCAAUUUUCCACGCCUGUCCGUAUCUUCCGUGCUGACUCAGCUGGAGAGUAUAUCUCUCACAUGUUGCGUGGUUUUCUUGCGGAGCAGAGUACUCUUGCCCAAUUCUCUUGCACUGGUGCACAUCCUCAGAAUGGCGUUGCUGAACACAAACAUCGCCAUUUGCUUGAGACGGCUCGGGCGAUGAUGAUCGCCGCCUCUCUUCCACCCCAUUUUUGGGCUGAGGCCGUUUCAGUAUCCACCAGCUCGUCAACAUUCAGCCAUCGGCUGCCUUGAAGGGUGGUAUUCCUAUGGAGCGUCUCUUUGGUCCUGACUACUCUGCUCUUCGCAUGUUUGGAUGCAUGUGCUAUGUUCUCCUUGCUCCGCGAGAACGAACCAAGUUGACUGCUCAGUCAGUUGAGUGUGUUUUCCUUAGCUAGAGUGAUGAGCACAAGGGCUAUCGCUGUUGGGAUCCUGUUGGUCACCGACUGCGCAUUUCGCGUGAUGUGACUUUUGAUGAGUCUCGUUCUUACUAUCCGCAUCCCUCCUCCUCGAGCUUUUCCGUGGAAGAUAUUUCCUUUCUUCUCCUUCCCGACACAUCUCCCUCUGUGUCUCCUGUUAUUCCCUCUCCCCCGAUGAGUCUCCCUACACCAUCGGUACCAUCAUCCCCUCCCUCCUCCUCCUGUCCCUCGUCAUCUCCCUCCCCACCCUCCUCCCCAGUCUUUCGCCCUCACUCCCCUUCUCCUCUCCACUACACUCGUCAUCCUCAUGCUGUGGAUGAUCCUACUGAUGUGCCCUCUACUUCCGGUGCACCUCCUCUCACGCCUACACCGGUCCAUAACCUUUGCGUUAGGCCUUGUCCCCCACCUGAUCGCUAUUCUCCUGACCAGUAUGGUCUUUCUGCCAUUGCUGAGCCCACCACCUAUCGAGCUGCCAUGACUCGGCCUGAAUGGCAGCUUGCCAUGGCCGAGGAGCUUGCGGCGCUUGAGCGCAAUGGCGCGUGGGAUCUGGUUUCUCCUCCUUCUGGUGUUUGUCCCAUCACGUGCAAGUGGGUCUAUAAGAUUAAGACUCGCUCUGAUGGUUCUCUUGAGCGUUACAAAGCUCGUCUUGUGGCUCGUGGCUUUCAGCAGGAACAGGGGCGUGAUUAUGACGAGACUUUUGCUCAUGUGGCCCAUAUGACCACUGUCCGCACUCUACUUGCUGUGGCUUCUGUUCGUCAUUGGCCUGUGUCUCAGCUUGACGUUCAGAACACCUUUCUCAAUGGCGAGUUGCGUGAGGAGGUUUAUAUGCAGCUACCACCGGGGUACUAUGCUCCUGAUGGUAUGGUCUGUAGACUUCGCCGCUCCCUCUAUGUGUAGGAUCGGAAGUAUGUCUAGAGGGGGGGGGGGUGAUUAGACUACUUGACCAAAUAAAAAUCUAGCCUUUUCCCAAUUUUAGUUCUUGGCAGAUUUUAGCAACUUAGCACAAGUCAAACAAUCAACCUACACAUGCAAUUCUAAGAGUAUAGCAGCGGAAAGGUAAAGCAAUUGCAUAUGAAGGUAAAGGGAUGAGUUUGAGGGAGCAAACGCAAUGUUGACAUAGAGAUUUUUUAUCCGUGGUUCCGAUAGGUGGUGCUAUCGUACAUCCACGUUGAUGGAGACUUCAACCCACGAAGGGUAACGGUUGCGCGAGUCCACGGAGGGCUUCACCCACGAAGGGUCCACGAAGAAGCAACCUUGUCUAUCCCACCAUGGCCGUCGCCCAUGAAGGACUUGCCUCACUAGGGUAGAUCUUCACGAAGUAGGCGAUCUCCUUGCCCUUACAAACUCCUUGGUUCAACUCCACAAUCUUGUCGGAGGCUCCCAAGUGACACCUAGCUAAUCUAGGAGACACCACUCUCCAAGAAGUAACAAAUGGUGUGUUGAUGAUGAACUCCUUGCUCUUGUGCUUAAAAUGAUAGUCUCCCCAACACUCAACUCUCUCUCAUAGGAUUGGAUUUGGUAGAAAGAAGAUUUGAGUAGAAAGCAACUUGGGAAGGCUAGAGAUCAAGAUUUAUGUGGUUGGAAUGGAAUAUCUUGAACUCAACACAAGUGUAGGUGGUUCUCUCUCAGAAAAUAUGUAUUGGAAGUGUAGGCAUGUUCUGAUGGCUCUCUCCACGAAUGAAGAGUGGGUGGAGGGGUUUAUAUAGCCUCCACACAAAAUCUAACUGUUACACACAAAUCACCAAACUCGGUGGGAGCGAUUCAAAGAACUCGGUCAGACCGAUUUGGUUCAUAAUGUGAACGUUAGGAUUCUCGGUGGGACCGACAUGUCAACUCUGUGGGACUGAUGUCAUUAGGGUUAGGGCAUAACGUAAUCUCGGUGAGACCGAUUACACAAACUCGGUGAGUCCGAUUUUGGUAAUAGCCAAACAGAGUGUUGGUCUGGCAAACUCGGUGGGACCGAUUCGCUCAUCUCGGUUGGACCGAAAUGUUACGAAAGGGAAACAGAGAUUUUGCAUUGUAAUCUCGGUGGGACCGAUCGCUCAUCUCGGUUUGACCGAAACGUUACGAAGGGAAACAGAGAGUUUGCAACCCCAUCUCGGUGAGACCGAGAUCCCUAUCGGUGAGACCGAAUAGAUUAGGGUUUCUGGCAGUGGCUAUGUCAACUGAACUCGGUGGCUCUGGAUGGAAAGAAUCGGUGGGGCCGAGUUGGACUUUUUGGUUUAGGACAUAUGUGGAUAUGAGAAAGUAGUGGAGGGUUUUGGAGCAUAUCACUAAGCAUUUUGAGCAAGAAUCUCAUUAAGCAACACCUCAUCCCUUCUUAAUAGUAUUGGCUUUUCCUAUAGACUCAAUGUGAUCUUGGAUCACUAAAAUGAAAAAUGUAGAGUCUUGUGCUUUGAGCUUGAGCCAAUGUUUUGUCCUUAGCAUUUUGAAGGGUCCACUUCCUAAUCCAUGCCAUGCCAAACAUUGAGCUUUCCUAAAAUAUUUAUCUUGGAAUAGCAUUAGCUCAGUGAGCUAUAUGUUGUUAGGAAUUACCAAAACCACCCAGGGAUAGUUGCACUUUCAAUCUCCCCCUUUUUGGUAAUUGAUGACAACAUAUAGAUCAAAGCUUCGACAAAUGAUAAAUAAGAUUGAAAAACAUCGUCGCUUUGAGAAGUAUGUGAUAAGCAAGAGCUCCCCCUAAAUUUGUGCAUUAUUUAAGAUUUGCUUUUGAAUGCAAAUGCACAAUCGAUUAGGAUCAUGGGUUACUCUUCCAUGUCACAUACAUCUUGGUGGAGCACUCAAAUGAUAGAGAUUAAAAGCAUGCACUCAUCACCAAGCAAAGUGAAUGAUCAUAAUAGGAUAUGAAAGAUAGCAUUAUCCAACAAGCAUUAAGGGUAGCAUAUGAUCAAACACUUGACCAAAUAAGUAUCUCACAAGGACACAAAGUAGUAUCACACAAGCACGCAGUAAAGUUUCAAACCAACCAAAAAAGAGUGCAAAGAGAGAUAAAAACCAACACUCUCUCUCUCGAAGCCUAUGAUCUAUACAUUUUUCUCCCCCUUUGGCAACAAGUUACCAAAAAGUUUGAAAAUGCAUAGUUCUAAACGACUCUCAGGCUUGAUCUUCGGGAGGUGGUGUUGAGAGAACGCCAAGGACGAAGGCUUCUGAUGAAGUGGCUGGAGCUGGUGGAGUAGCUACUGGCGUUGGAACUGGAGCUGUGGCUGCUGGUGCUGAUGUUGUAGCUCUAGUGUCUGUCACUGGCACUGCAGUAGAUCUCUGUCCUCUGGGCACUCUAGCAAAUGCAUCUGUGGUAGACUUGCCCUUCUUCUCCUCUGCUUCCUCCUGAGGUUGCUCAACUGCUCUUUGGAUCUCAGUUACCUUGACAUCAAGGUCAUAGAAUUUUGUCUCAACAAUCCUUUCCAAGCUCUCCUGGUUCUUGGUCAGGGUGGCCAAGCCCUGCUCAAUCCUCAGAGUGGAUUGGAUCAGAUAUGCAAGCUGGUCGUGCUUGCUCUUCAAGAAUACAUGAGAUGCCUCUUCCAUAGUUGGCAUCUUUGCAACUUUCGCAGCUUUAGCCUUCUCUCUCUUUUCUUGUGCUUGCACAAAUGAUGGUUCAUUCUCAGUCAUGACAACAGUGUUGUCCUCAAAUUCAGGAUAGAUGGGUAGAUGCUCCUUGUCCAAGAUGUACUUGCCUUUGCCCAUCUUUGAGUUGAUGAGCUCCUGGAUGUGUGGGGCAUAUCCACAACUUCGCUUCUGAUCGGCUGCAGUCCUCUUGAUUGUUUCCACAAUCAGGCUCAUAACCUUGAAUUUUUGUGGGACAUCAAAUAUGUGCAGCAAGUUGAUAGCAUGUCCUCUGAUCAUCUUGUGAUCACCUGACUUGGGUAGAAGUGUGUGCCUCAGAAUCCAAUUGAUUGUUGGCAGACCAGACAACAAAUAGUGUACAGAUCCAAACUUAUGUGUGUCCAAAGCAUCAUCAGGGAUCUCUUCGUACAUAUUUGCCAUAGAGUUGUGGUCUUUCUUCUUCUUGUCAUAGACAUCCAAGUCAUCCUCAUGUUCCUCAGGAGCAUUUAUUAGUUUUGCCCAUUCUUCAACUGUAAACUGGUACCUAGUACCCUCAGACAUCCACACAAUCCUUCCAUCUGGAUAGAAGUGUGCAGUGGAGUAAAAUUGCAUAAUGAGCUCAUCAUUCCACUUGGUGAACUUCCGAGCCACAAACUCAUCAACUCCACAUGCCUUGAAGUUUUCAUAUACACCAGGGAAGUGAUCCUCAUUUUCCUUAAUGAAUUUCCAAUCAACCCAUCUCAUGUCACACACUAUGGGCUUCUUGUCAAGUAAGGCAGCCUCAUAGAAGUCCUGUUGUUCCUUAGUGUGGAAUGUGUAGUCCAUAGUAGUCCUUCUCCUGGUGGCAUAUGGAUCAGACUCUCUCCAUAGCCUCAAUCCUGAAUCCUUCCUGAUUUUCAUGUUCUCUGCAACUGGGUGUGCAUCAUUGUGAUCAGGGAUCUUGGGCUUCAGCUUUCUCAAAAUGACAGAAUCAUCUUCUUCUUCUUCAGCAGCUUGAGGCACUGGGGCCUUGUUCUUCUCCUCAGCAGGGAUGUUCCUAGUGCUCCUCUUGGGUUUUGGUUUUGGAGCUGGAGCAGCAGCCUUGGGAGCAGCUUUGGGCUUAGAUGGAGCAGCCCCUGAUCUGAUUGCAUCUCCCAUGAGCUUUUGAGCUUUGGGUGCUGGUGCAGCAUCCUCUUCCUCUUCCUCUUCAGAAUCUUUCCUCAUUGAGGGCUUCCCAAGAACUCUAGAAGUAGUGGUUCUGGCCCUCUUCUUCUUCUUAUCCUCACCAGCUGCUUCUUCUUCAGAUUCAAUGGUGAACUUCAUAGUUUCACCUGUGGCAACUUUUCUUGGCUUAGACAUGGGCUGUCUUCCUGCUGGCCUCUUUGUUUUCAGACCUGGCUUAGUUGCAGCAGCUGAGCCAUACUCUUUCUUCAGCACUUUCUUCUUUGAAGUGGCUUCAUCUUCAACAGCCACAUAGUCUUCAUCCUCAGAGUCAGAAGUUCUCUUCUUCCUUGACCUGGUGGCAGCUUUUGGCAAGUUGCUUGGAGUGCUCCUGCUGCCUUCAUCAUAGCUGCUAGAGGGACUAGUGCCCUCACUCAACUGAACCUGUUCCUCUGACUUGUUCUGGCUGUCACUUUGGUCAGACAUCUUGCAGGCAAACUGUCAGCAGACCCUGUGAACAGGUUAUAGAUGAGGUAGAGUAGAUGAGCAUCACAAAGCACAGGAGUUUUUGCAAAAUAGAUGACUUAAAAACUUAGUUUUAGUUCUUCAUAGAAAGCAUUUCGGAUCUACCGUUUUGUAAACUCGGUGAUACCGAAGCAGCUUUUGGAACCUGAACUAGUGAACUCGGUCAGACCGAGUCACAGUUCGGUGGCACCGAGACUGCUAGGGUUUCACAGAGAAUUGAACUCGGUCACACCGAUUUGCAAUUUUCGGUCGGACCGAAAAUGCGUGUGCUCUGGCCUAAGCCAAAAUCGGUGAGACCGAUUUCUACAACUCGGUCGGUCCGAGAUGAAUUCGGCGGAGACCUAACCCUAAAUUUUCAAAUCAAAACUAAUCUACGGGACGUUUUCGCUGGACAGGAUGAUUUCAGUUGUGGCAAGAAACAUGGCAAAGCAAUGUGCUAAGAAUUGGAGUUAAAGAUUAGCACAAUGAUAAAGUCCGUACCCUAGUGCGGCGACGAACUUGCUACGUCGGCAACGGCGGAGAUGAUUUCCGUUGACGGCGGCGGAGACCAGCGGCGGGAGGACGCUGGCGACGAGAGGACGAUCCGGAGACCAGAGGAGGCAGAGUAGGUUACGCGCGGGCGAAGGGGUUCGGAGAAAUUUCCAAAUUUUGACCCAGCGGUAUAUAUAACCUGACCCUGUCGGUGUGACCGAGUGGAACGACUCGGUGGCACCGAGAUGCAAAACUGCAAGCAGUUACUGCAACUCGGUGUGACCGAAAUGUUCUAAUCGGUUGCACCGAGAUUGAAAACUCUAGAUCAACUUGGUGACUCGGUAGGACCGAAAAGGAUGAAUCGGUCAGACCGAGGUGCACAAAGAGGUUUGGAGGUUUAAGUCUAUGACGAAUCGGGAUCUCCGAGUGCUCCUCACACAGAGUGGUUCGAAUCUGACUUGAUCAAACUUUGUGAUGUAGCAUGAAUAGAGUUUGAGACGAGAAAAGCAUAGAUAGCUAGAGGGUGUUCUUAGGCAUUCUUGUCCAUCCAUUUGGCAAAAGAGAAAGAGCCAAACAAUCAAAACAACAAAUGGAUGUCCUCGAAUGAGUAAAAUAUGCAACCAACAUGCUCACACAAUAAAAUGGCAAAUGAAAUAUGUGAAAAAGCAUGCACAAACAUUCUAGCAUCUAUCAAGCAAUUGGCGAUGACUAGGUCAUCUAUAUAUGAGUAUAUUGACUUAGGAGUCAAAUGAGAACAUUUGAUCAUAGGUCAUACUCAUCGUUUAAGCACAAGUGGGGUUACCACUUUUACAUAAAGAAUUGUUGUGUUCACACCAUUAGAGUUGCUUUAGCUCAUUGAUUUGAGUAAAGCUCCCCCUAGAUGUGAUAUUCCCCCUAAAGGGAAUGAACUAACCUUGGGUUUUGUCGAUGAUGACUUCAUGUAGGUGUUGAAGAUGUAGAUGCUCAAUGUUGAUGUAGAUCAUUUGGAGCAAUCCUUUGGAGUGAGUUGCGCUUUCAAUACCUUGUCCCUUGUCUUACCAACAAGAGGGUUUGUGACUCCUUGAACUAGUGCAAGAUAUGGAAGUUGUUUGCACUUGUCCUUGCCAAAAUGAUAGGAGUGAAGUAUGUUGGCGGAGUCACCCUCAAGAACUCUCUAGUUCUUCUUCUUCUGGAUCCACACCAUCUUGAUGGGAACCCUUGGAGUCGUAGUUGUACUUGAUGAAGUGGAACUUGAUGUAGUCUUGGGAACCCACUUGACAAAGGCCUUAGGUGCUUCUUCAAAUGCAUCAAUUUCCUCUUGAAGCUUAUCCUUGCAUUUUUGCUUGUGGUCUUGUGGUGGAAGAUCAUCUUGAGCUUGUGUUCCUUUGAGAGAAGUAGGAUCAUACUUCUCUUGUUGAGGAACAAACUUCGUCUUGGGGUAUUGAUCUUCUUCCCACUCAACUCCAUUGGCAUCGAACUUCCGUUCAAAACCAACACCUUGAUUCUUCCGGUGUCUUCCUUGCUUGCGCACAAUUUCCUCAAAAUGCUUACUUCCGGCAAGACUCUUGUAAACACCUUUCUCUAUGAUUCCCUUCAAUAAGCUAUUUUCUUGCUCAAGUGUAACUAGGCUAAGAGAAUCAUUAGUGGAAUCAAGAGAACUACUAGAAGCAUCAACAUUGGAUUUAGCAUGAUUGUUGUUACUACUAGAUGAAGAAUCUUUCUUGUUCUUGUUGCUAGAUUUAACUUGUGGCAUGUAAGUAGACAAGAGUAAACGCUUGGCAAUGUAAGAAGAACUUUUCUUGCGAAGAUCAUCAUUGAUUGCCUUUAAAAACUCAUGCUCUUGCUCAAGGUUGAGCUUUUCAAAGCGUAGCUUAUCAUGAGUCUUUAAAAGUUCUCGAUGAUUUUCCAAGGUAGUUUCAUGAGCUAACUUAAGAGUGUUUAGUUCUUGAGUUAGACGCUCAAUCUCCUUCUUAUCUUCAUCAUUCGUUUUAUCUUGAUUAGCAUGUUUAAUUGACGUUUCAUCAUAGUUUUCUCACUAGAGUUGUCAACAAGUAAAUCAUCAUCACCUAGCAAAUCAUCUUCAUCACUAUUGAAAUCAGAAUACUCGGGAUGUGUUACCUUUGGACCUUUGGCCAUGAAGCAUCUUCCAAUUCCUUCAUUUGGUGAGUCAAAUAUAUCAUAGGAGUUGGUUGUCACAACUGUUAGACCGGGAACACCUUCAUCUUGAGUAUAUUCGGAGUCGGAGUGAUAACUUCUUUCGGAGUGAUUGUCGGAGUCGGAGCCGGAUACCCAUUCACCAACAUGAGCUUGAUGUCUUCUUUUUGUGUAGCUCCUUGAUGACUUUUCCUUUCUUUCCAAAUCCUUGCUUCUCCGAGAGGGUCUUUGUCCAUAACGAUCAUCUCUACUCCUCCUUUCUCUCGGUGGUGAUUAUUCUCUUCUACUUCUUCUUUUGGGAGAAUCUUCUCUUCUUUUGUAGGGGGCCGUACACUCAUUGGAGUAGUGUCCGGGUCUUCCACAAUUGUAGCACUUACGCUCACGACUAGAAGAUCUUUUGUCAUUGUAGGACCUUGACUUGGAACCUAUUUCUUUGCUUCUACUUUUGUAGAACUUGUUGAAGUUCUUCACCAUUAAGCUCAAUUCUUCAUUGAAGGUUUGUUUCUCACUUGAAGAUGUGGGAGUAUCACAUGAGGCUUUGUAAGCACCACUUGACUUGUUGUGAAGCUCUUCCUUAUCCUUGAGUGACAUCUCAUGAGCAACAAUUCUUCCAUUGACUUCCGUUGGCUUGAGAUCUUUGUAACUGGGCAUCAUUUGGAUCAAUGUGCACACGGUAUCAUAUUUUCCAUCCAAGGCUCUUAGGAUCUUCUUGAUGAUGAAUUUGUCGGUCAUCUCUUCACUUCCUAAGCUGGCAAUCUCAUUUGUGAUGAGAGCAAGCCUAGAGUACAUUUCAGCGAUACCUUCACCAUCCUUCAUUUUGAACUUGUCAAGUUGACUUUGAAGCACAUCCAAUUUGGAUUCCUUGACGGAGUCGGUACCUUCGUGCAUAUCAAUCAAAGUAUCCCAAAUUUCCUUUGCAUUCUCAAGACGGCUGAUUUUGUUGAAUUCUUCGGGGCACAAUCCGUUGAAGAGAAUAUCACAAGCUUGAGCAUUGUAUUGUAGCAUCUUCAACUCUUCCGCGGUAGCUUCAUGGUUCGGUUCUCUCCCAUCAAAGAAUUCACCUUGCAAGCCAAUACACACAAUAGCCCAAACGGCGGGGUUAUGUCCAAGAAUAUGCAUUUUUAUCUUAUGCUUCCAACUAGCAAAAUUAGUGCCAUCAAAGUAAGGACCUCUACGGUGGUAAUUUCCCUCGCUAGACGCCAUACUCUCCUAGGUUGUGAAACCAAGGCUAUGACCACCAAAAGCUAUGGAAAUCAAAGCAAAUGGAGACCAAAGCUCUGAUACCACUUGUAGGAUCGGAAGUAUGUCUAGAGGGGGUGAUUAGACUACUUGACCAAAUAAAAAUCUAGCAUUUUCCCAAUUUUAGUUCUUGGCAGAUUUUAGCAACUUAGCACAAGUCAAGCAAUCAACCUACACAUGCAAUUCUAAGAGUAUAGCAGCGGAAAGGUAAAGCAAUUGCAUAUGAAGGUAAAGGGAUGAGUUUGAGGGAGCAAACGCAAUGUUGACACGGAGAUUUUUUAUCCGUGGUUCCGAUAGGUGGUGCUAUCGUACAUCCACGUUGAUGGAGACUUCAACCCACGAAGGGUAACGGUUGCGCGAGUCCACGGAGGGCUCCACCCACGAAGGGUCCACGAAGAAGCAACCUUGUCUAUCCCACCAUGGCCGUCGCCUACGAAGGACUUCCCUCACUAGGGUAGAUCUUCACGAAGUAGGCGAUCUCCUUGCCCUUACAAACUCCUUGGUUCAACUCCACAAUCUUGUCGAAGGCUCCCAAGUGACACCUAGCCAAUCUAGGAGACACCACUCUCCAAGAAGUAACAAAUGGUGUGUUGAUGAUGAACUCCUUGCUCUUGUGCUUCAAAUGAUAGUCUCCCCAACACUCAACUCUCUCUCAUAGGAUUGGAUUUGGUAGAAAGAAGAUUUGAGUGGAAAGCAACUUGGGGAAGGCUAGAGAUCAAGAUUUAUAUGGUUGGAAUGGAAUAUCUUGAACUCAACACAAGUGUAGGUGGUUCUCUCUCAGAAAAUAUGUAUUGGAAGUGUAGGCAUGUUCUGAUGGCUCUCUCCACGAAUGAAGAGUGGGUGGAGGGGUAUAUAUAGCCUCCACACAAAAUCUAACCAUUACACACAAAUCACCAAACUCGGUGGGAGCGAUUCAAAGAACUCGGUCAGACCGAUUUGGUUCAUAAUGUGAACGUUAGGAUUCUCGGUGGGACCGACAUGUCAACUCGGUGGGACCGAUGUCAUUAGAGUUAGGGCAUAACGUAAUCUCGGUGAGACCGAUUACACAAACUCGGCGAGUCCGAUUUUGGUAAUAGCCAAACAGAGAGUUGGUCAGGCAAACUCGGUGGGACUGAUUCGCUCAUCUCGGUUGGACCGAAACGUUACGAAAGGGAAAAGAGAGUUUGCAUUGCAAUCUCGGUGGGACCGAUCGCUCAUCUCGGUUUGACCGAAACGUUACGAAGGGAAACAGAGAGUUUGCAACCCCAUCUCGGUGAGACCGAGAUCCCUAUCGGUGAGACCGAAUUGAUUAGGGUUUCUGGCAGUGGCUAUGUCAACUGAACUCGGUGGCUCCGGAUGGACAGAAUCGGUAGGGCCGAGUUGGACUUUUUGGUCUAGGACAUAUGUGGAUAUGAGAAAGUAGUGGAGGGUUUUGGAGCAUAUCACUAAGCAUUUUGAGCGAGAAUCUCAUUAAGCAACACCUCAUCCCUUCUUAAAAGUAUUGGCUUUUCCUAUAGACUCAAUGUGAUCUUGGAUCACUAAAAUGAAAAAUGUAGACUCUUGUGCUUUGAGCUUGAGCCAAUGUUUUGACCUUAGCAUUUUGAAGGGUCCACUUCCUAAUCGAUGCCAUGCCAAACAUUGAGCUUUCCUGAAAUAUUUAUCUUGGAAUAGCAUUAGCUCAAUGAGCUAUAUGUUGUUAGGAAUUACCAAAACCACCCAGGGAUAGUUGCACUUUCACUAUGGUCUUAAACAGGCCCCUCGCGCCUGGUUCGAGCGCUUCGCCUCUGUGGUGACUACCGCUGGUUUCUUGCCAGUGAUCAUGAUCCCGCGUUGUUUGUUCACACGUCUCCUCGUGGUCGGACUCUUCUCCUUCUCUAUGUUGAUGACAUGAUCAUCACUGGUGACGACUCUGACUACAGUGCCUUUGUUAAGGCCCGCCUUCGCGACCAGUUCCUCAUGACUGAUCUUGGUCCACUUCAAUAUUUUCUUUGGAUUGAGAUCUCCUCGACCUCUGAUGGCUUCUACAUCUCCCAGGAAAAAUACAUUCAGGAUCUUCUUGCUCGUGCUACUCUUGGUGAUGAGCGCACUGUUGUGACUCCUAUGGAGCUCAACGUUCAGCUUCGUGCCUCUGACGGUGACCCUCUUCCUAAUCCUACUCGCUAUCGCCACCUCGUUGGCAGCCUUGUCUACCUUGUUGUUACGCGUUCCGACAUCUCCUAUCAUGUUCAUAUACUGAGUCAGUUUGUUUCAGCACCCACCUCUGUCCACUAUAGUCAUCUCCUCCGUGUUCUCCGAUAUCUUCGUGGCACUUUCUCUCAUCGCCUUUUCUUUCCCCGCUCAAGCUCUCUUGAGCUCCAGGCCUACUCUGAUGCUACAUGGGCUAGUGAUCCCUCUGAUCGACGCUCGCCGUCUGCAUACUGUGUCUUUCUUGGUGGCUCUCUCAUUGCCUGGAAGACAAAGAAAUAGACUAACGUUUCUCGCUUGAGUACAGAGGCUGAGUUGCGAGCCAUGGCUAUGUUGACGGCUGAGGUGAUUUGGUUACGGUGGUUAUUUGAGGAUUUUGGAGUGCCUGCUACUACCUCGACUCCCUUACUGUCAGAACCGGUGCUAUCAGUAUUGCGCGUGACCCGGUGAAGCAUGAGCUCACCAAGCACAUCGGUGUGGAUGCCCACUUUGUGCGUGCUGCUGUGCAUGAUCAGACUCUUGCUCUUCACUAUGUUCCCUCUGAGUUAUAGUUGGCGGACUUCUUCACGAAGGCACAGACUCGAGUGCGGCAUGGUUUUCUUCUCUCCAAACUCAGUGUUGUUGAUCCACCAUGAGUUUGAGGGGGGUGUUAGAUGUGUAUAGUCCCUUUUUGGUUCUUCCCCAUUGUAUAAGGGGUUUCCUGCACUUCACCACACAUGUAUAUGUAAUGGCAUUUGGCCUUCAGUGAAUAUUAAUUGUUGUUUAUCCAACAACAUUCACGCCAAUCAUAAAACAGUGUUUGUUAGUAGUGGAGUGGUAGGCGGACGCAAAUCAAACCAUCAUUUUUCUUCUAAUUACACUUGUAAAAGCAUCGAUGCAUCUCCGUCGCUUAAUUUUAUUUGUCAUUCUGUUCAGUACCUGGUUUGGUUCAGGAAGAGCUCUUUUUCCUAUGCAAAAUGUAUAACGUAUAUGCUCCUAAUUCUGAUUGCAGACAUAUUCAUCGCGCUAGUGUUUUGACAUGACGCGGGGAACCAAGAGCCGUUCAACAGCGCGUUUCUGGGAUACGCCACCGGUCUGGCACUAAAGGUAGCGGUGAUGAUCUGGUUUCAAGCCGCGCUGCUAAUAUAUCAUGGCAUCUUGCAGCCUGCUCUGUUGCACAUCGUUCCUGGCGCAUGACUGGUUUGGUCGCCGUUCACUCUCCGUGGAAUGGAGAGGUGAAAGCGGGCAAGUAAGCCUGUCUACUUUGUCCCUUUUGUGUAGUGCUGGGAUCAGAGAAAAUAACUGGCAAUCUGGAUCAGCCUGGUUUUGAGACGCGACUUGUUUGCCACUGACUGUUUUGCGUUGGCAGUUACUGCAGUUGGAGUGGGAAGCUGGAGAGGAGGAAGAAGACGAAGGUCCCAACCGGCAGAGCAAAAAGGUGAACCAGCCCUCGCCUUUUUAAUUACUAGGAGAAAGAAACAUUGAGGCAGUAAUUUCUUCAGGCAAGAUCGAUUGGCAGCUAAUUAAGUAGGCUGGAUGGCAUUGAGAAACCCAAAAACGAUUUACAUACACAUGGUAGAUCGUCUCUCUCUCUCCUUCCACCCCUUCCUUUCAUGGCCAUCGUAGACUGCACCAUGUGGCAUUCAAACUUUUCUCAAGGGGAGAGUUUCCUCACACACACACACAUGCACAUACGCAAGCACACGCACACACGUGUAGUACAAACUUAGAAUUUUUGGAAAUAAUGGGAGGCCGAGCAACGGCCAUGUGAAAAUAUGAGGUAUAUAGCUUGUGGAUUUCCAUUCAGUGUACAAGGCCUGCAUGAGGAAUGGAUAAAGAAAUAUAUCUUUGAUUCCCUUAGUUAAAUCUUAUCCUUCAUCGUCAAUUAUGACUAAGCAUACAUAGUAAUCGCUAGUUUCUCUUAUAUGCUUCCGAGAAGAUAAGACUGGAUAUUUUAGUUGCUAUUAAUUAUUUCCCUUCUUUCGCUAAAUAGUAGUCAAACAUGUUAUUAAUGUAUUUUGUAAGGAUAAGGUCGAGCAUCAUGGCCACUAUGUUCUAUAUAUACUGAAUUUGGUGUUCAGUAUGACAUAACAAACACAUAUUGUGAGAAGGAGUAGUGUACAUUGUUCUCUAGUGCACUUUGUUCAGCAAGUUGGGUGAAAAUGUUGAAUAAACCAUCAAGUUUUCAUACAUUUUUUCAUGGCACAGGUUUGCCUUCUCAUGAUGAUGGCUGCACCGUUUGCACAAGCUGCUGGGAGGCCUGUGGCAUCCUUACCAUGGGUAGCGGGGUGUUGCCUGAGGAACUAUUUGUGUUGUGGUGUUGGUGCUGUUGCCCCGACAUCCCAUGCAUCGCAGGCCACCUCUGUACCUUGAAUUAUGGUUUCGCCUGAUCUCCUCUCAUAACAUAGUUGAUAUAACAUAGUAGCAUCACAAAGGUUGCAUGGUUUCAUUGAUUCAUCUCUUUUCUACUCCGUGAAACUUGUGAUGCCACUUUUGAACAAUGUCAUUGCUAUGUCUUCUUAUAACUAAUAAAAUGGGAGGAUAUUUUCAUAUUAUUUGAAUUGUGUUGUAACAUUACCUACUAAUGUGGAUGAUCUGAGUGGACUACAUAGAUCGGAUCUUCUAAAGAUAUAAUCUAGGACUUUGCGAGAUGAUGAAAUUGUCCUUUAUCUUGGUCGACACCUUUUCGUAGAAGUGUUGGUCGGCCGUCUGUGUCUUUUUGCGGUGCAUGCCGUAGAGUCCUCCAUGUUUUGUAGUUGUACAAUAACCUUUGAGGCAACCGGGGGUGGUACGUCUGAGGAAGUCGGUGGCCCAGGAAUAUUCAUAAUGAGAUCUCGACCAUGGAUGCCAAGUAAUUUGCCCCGUGCUGAUGUCGUCGGGCGACCCGGUCACUUAUGUUUUGACUCAAGGAGUCGCUAUGUUCAUCGAGUCGCGAGACAGCGGGAGGAAGGAGACGAAGGUCCCAAACGUCAGACCAAAAAGGUGGACUAGGGCUCGCCCUAGUUGUGCUCUCGGGUAUUUUCAGUUACUAGUAGGAGUAAGAAGCAUUGCAAAUUGCUCCCUCUGUUCAAUCCGUAUAUAUGUAGUCCGUAUUCAUAUAUUCAAAAUAUUUUAUAUUUGUGAACGAAGGGAGUAAUUAAUAGUAAUGCAACAAUUUCAGGGGAGGCCAGUCAACAGCUAACUAAAUGUGCUGGAUGAGACUGGAGACAUGUAUAAACGAUUUACACAUGAUAGAACUACUCUUUUCUUGUCAAGGAAUGGAAGAAUGGAUGAUUUUAUCCGUUCGGAACAAAACCCAAUAUUCAUCCAGUUAGACGUUGUUCUGAAUUCUGAAGCUUUUGAAAGUUUUCUCGCAGAAAUAUGUGUGUGUAUUCCAGUUGUAUCAUUAGCAAACCAAGGUUGUAUAUAUUAUAGCACAAAGAAUGUUUGGUUGAUUCGUUCAGGCGAAUCAGGUUUGUGGCUGACUGCCAAAGUCAGGCCAACUCCAGCGCACGACCCCAAACAGACAUCUGUUUUGUCUGGAUUCUGCCCGUUUGGAUAUAGCAAUGGGGUCGUGUCCAGGCCUGUCCUGUGAUGCGGUCGCCGUGCGCACAACGCGCGGACGCAUCCUUUGGCCUCAUCAUGUCCGCCACGGCCAAAAAUGCCCAUAUAUUCAUAUUUCAAUAUUCAAAACUAGUUUGCACGUCCAAAUAUUAAUUGUCUGAAAAUAAAAAUAGUUUUACAACCCAAUCAAAAUUGUCUCUAAUAAAAUAGUUUUACAACCAAAUCGAAAUUGUCUUGAAUGAACAUAAUGAAACCAAUACAUCUAUUGGUUGCCAAUGUGAUUCCACAUGUGCUCAACCAAGUCAUUUUGAAGAUCCAAAUGAGUGUGCCAAUCAUGCAUUUCACGAUGACAUUGGGCAAACUGCUCAAACGUGGCCGGUUCUUGGUGCAGGGGCUGAACAUUUUCACCUUGAAAAUCAAAUCCUUGGUCGAAGAUGCUGUUAUCACGCUCGUCCUCGACGAUUAUGUUGUGCAUGAUCACACAAGCAGUCAUCACCUCCCGAAGCUUCCCUUCAUCCCAUGUCAAUGCAGGGUUUCGAACGAUACCCCAUCGGGAUUGAAGCAAACCAAAAGCACGUUCCACAUCCUUUCUAGCACUCUCUUGCAUUUGGGUAAAUCUCUUUCUCUUCUCACCUUGGGGGUUCGAGAUUGUCUUCACAAAAAGUUGACCACUGAGGAUAUAUACCAUCAGCUAGGUAGUAUCCCUUGUUGUACUGGUGGCCGUUGAUCUCAAAGUUGCCAGGUGGGGAGUGGCCUUCUGCAAGCCUUGCGAAGACUGGAGAACGCGGCAGCACGUUGAUAUCAUUGUGAGAACCUGCCAUGUCGAAGAAAGAAUGCCACAUCCAAAGAUCUUGCGAAGCCACCGCUUCUAAUAUGAUAGUGCAUGCUUUAACAUGCCCCUUGUACUGGCCCUGCCAAGAAAAUGGACAGUUCUUCCACUCCCAGUGCAUACAAUCUAUGCUACCAAGCAUGCCUGGAAAGCCUCUAGCCGCGUUGGUCGCCAACAAGCUUUCUAUAUCAGUGGCAUUUGGCUGCUGAGGGAGUCCUGGAUUAAGGGGUCCUCGGGCGUUUGGGCUGCGUAACAUGGGCCGGACUAAUGGGCCGUGAAGNNNNNNNNNNNNNNNNNNNNNNNNNNNNNNNNNNNNNNNNNNNNNNNNNNNNNNNNNNNNNNNNNNNNNNNNNNNNNNNNNNNNNNNNNNNNNNNNNNNNNNNNNNNNNNNNNNNNNNNNNNNNNNNNNNNNNNNNNNNNNNNNNNNNNNNNNNNNNNNNNNNNNNNNNNNNNNNNNNNNNNNNNNNNNNNNNNNNNNNNNNNNNNNNNNNNNNNNNNNNNNNNNNNNNNNNNNNNNNNNNNNNNNNNNNNNNNNNNNNNNNNNNNNNNNNNNNNNNNNNNNNNNNNNNNNNNNNNNNNNNNGAUUCCUUUCCCUGUAAACCGACUCUGUACAACCCUAGCCUUCUCCGAUGUCUAUAUAAACCGGAGGGUUUAGUCCGUAGAGGCAAGGAUAAUCAUACAGGCUAGACAUAUAGGGUUUAGCCAUUACGAUCUCGAGGUAGAUCAACUCUUGUAAUCCCUAUACUCAUCAAAGUCAAUCAAGCAGGAAGUAGGGUAUUACCUCCAUUAAGAGGGCCCGAACCUGGGUAAACAUCGUGUCCCCUGCCUCCUAUUACCCUCUAUCCUUAGACGCACAGUUCGGGCCCCCCUAUCCGAGAUCCGCCGGUUUUGACACCGACAGCUGCCUCAAGUACUCAGGGCCAAACACUGCCACCACAGCCUUGUAGAACUUGUAAAGUGACAACAGACAUGCCGACUCACUCAUGCGCACGUACUCAUCCACCAGAUCGCCUGGAAUUCCAUAUGCAAGCAUGCCGAUGGCCGCGGUGCACUUCUGGUAAGAGGAGAAUCCAAGCUUGCCAAGGGCAUCCGUCUUGCACUCGAAGUAUGGGUCAUGAGCAACCACUCCCUCUCGGAUACGAUUGAACAGAUGUCUUGCCAUACGAAAACGGCGACGGAAUUUAUCCGGCUUGAAGAGCGAGGUAUUCGCAAAGUAAUCGGCAUAGAGCAAGGCGUGGCCUCUCUCUCUAUUGCGUUUCAGGUUGGGAGCACGGCCAGGGACUGACCCCAUGUACCGAGGAAGCUGCCCAAUGUGAUCGUGAACGACCAGUGCAACCACCACCAGAUCUUCGUCAUCCGAGGACGAAUCAUCCAAUGAAUAAAUGAAGUGGUGGAAGAAAAAUUCAUCUCCACUGUCCAUACAUUUGUGGGCAAAGUGUUCAACACCUUGCGGUCGUGGUGGCAAAGAGGCCGCGAUGAUCAUCUCGAUGCAGCAGGGGUGGUUGGCGGCCGGCUACUGGCCGCUCUAGAGCACCCGGCGGAAGCUGCCGUGGUCCAUAUCCGUCGCCGGUGGUCGUAUCCCCUCUAGCACCGGCUACAAUGGCGACGGCCAAAUCUCCUCCAAGCGAUGGCCAGAACUCCUACGAAAGCGCGGGCGUUGUGGCGGCCAUGUCGAGACGUGGUUUGGUAUGGAUGGGCAGGGGGAGGGAGCAGUGAGGAGGCGGUCGGAGAAUACUGGCGGCGCCGGUGGCGGGAUGCGGCGGAGGAGAGCGGGUGAAGGCGUUGGAGGCAAAUGGAGUGCUAGUGUCCCCGACAGGCGGGCCACGGGGAGGACAAGGGCGUGUGUCCAGCCCGUCCGCGUGAUGUCCAUUUCACCCCAAACUCGGCACAAGUUUGGGCCGGGAAUGGGUAAAAAACGGACGAAAUCCGGACAUUUGUCUAUUUGAAGCCGCGCCUUGAGUCAUGCUAUUCGUCUGUUCUACCCUAAACGGACGCACCAGAACGGAAUGGGGUCGCGUGCUGGAGUUGGCCUCACGGCCGUUUCUGCCUUUGGCGCAGACAAGAGAUUCUACACUGUAAAGGAAAAAGCUGAAAGCUCUCUUGUCUCGUGUGUUUCUCUUCUCUUGCACCUUGUCGGAAAACAGUGUGCACCAGGGACGCUCGAUUCCAUGGCAGGCAUCAGUUCAAUCGAUCAUGCUACAGGGAACCGGCACUAUCUUCUUUUUCUUUUUCUUUUUCUUUUAGGUCGUGAACGCAAGUCAUUUGAGAUAUUCACGUAGGACUUACAUAAUUGGUACGUUGUGACAAAACUGGACGCACACGAUGAAAUAUAUAAAUAUUCCUAUGGUAGAUUUAUCAGCAUCAGUGUGGAGCUAAAGUGUUUGAUGUUUUGUAUGAAUGGUUUGGUCUGAACAAUAAAGCCGACCACUCAGGACCUACUUUUGGGCUUUUUUUUUUGUAUUAUUCUAUACUAGCAAAAGGGCCCGUGCGCGGAGAAAAAAAUUAUAAUCUUGAAUGACCAUGAUCACAUUUUUUUUCAUCACCGAGAUACACUAUCACUUUCAACUUCGGGAAAUCAUCUACAUUUUUUAAACUUGUGCACAUUUUUCACAUUCAUGAACACUUUUACAAAUUUGCAAACAUAUUCUAAAAUCAAGAACAUAUUUUGAAUUCAUGAACAUUUUAUAGUAUUUACAAACAUUUUUAGAAAUUACGUUUUUUUAACAAUUUUCUUGAAUAGGCAAACAAUUCUAAAAUGGACGAACAUUGUUUUAGAAAUCGGUGGAAUAAUUUUUGAAAUUCCCGAACAUUUUCUUGAUUUUACAAACAUUUUUUGAAAUGCAUGAUCAUUUUUGUAUAAACUAUUUUGUAUGUCACGAACAGUUUUCCAAAUAUUUGGUUAUUUCCCCAUUCAUGAACAUUUUUUGAAUGGUGAUAUUUUCUUAAAUUUCAUUAACAUUUUUUGUACACGAAUUUUUAAAAAGUCAUGGACGUAUUUUGGUUUCAUGAACAUUUGUUUUCAAAAUUUCAAACAUUUUUCGAGCCAGAUUCUUUAAUAAAAUUGCAAAUAUUUUUUGAAUACAUAAACAUUUUAUGAUUUAUUAAAACUUUAUUUGGAAAUUAUUUUAAUUUUGAAAUAUUUUUUGUAUUCUGAAUUUAAUUAAAGUAGAAAAACGGAAAAAGAUAAAAAAGGAAAUGUUAAAAACAGGCUGCCCGGACAUGGGCCGGCCCAAAUGGGCGGGCCGCGCCUUAUCCCUUCGCGCAGAGCCCAGUAUGGCAGGUCGCUACUACAUGGGCCAGUCCAGACGGGGAUUCCCCUGUGUGAAACAUUUAUAUCACUUAUACGUGACAUUUGGAUCCCCUCUAGUUAGGGUUUUCUCUCCUCCCGGCGGCGCCUGGCACCGACGUGGAGACCGCGAUCCCCUGCGUCUCCUAGACCACUGAUCGCCGGCGGCUUCGGACGUCGGGCUCGUGUGCGCGCUGGGCGAUCUGUCUAGGGUUCUCCCGCCCGCGGAAACCGACUUCUCGGGCAAGAGAUCUGAUGGAAGGCUCAACGUCGGCGUCAGCCGCAGCGAUGAGCGACAUGGAAGCUAUGAUGAAGGAAUUGGGCCUGAAAGAAGAUGAUCUGGAGGAUGUUGUGGUUCAGGAUGGCGACAUACCAGAGGAAGCGGCGCGGUGGAUGGUGAUCCUGCGGGUGCACAUGGAUAAGCCGUACAGUCAGUAUUGGUUUUUUCGUAACAUGCGGGUUGCAUGGGAUCUAGCACAAGAAGUCAAGUUCCGCCCUCUAGAAGACAACCUCUAUACUCUGCAAUUCUCCUACCUGGGUGAUUGGGAGAGAGUCAUGGAGGACGGCCCCUGGACAUACAAAGGAAAAGCUGUCGUAAUCGAGCCCUAUGAUGGUUUCACCAGAUCAUCGUCUAUUGUUCUUAACAAGAUUGAGAUGUGGAUCCAGAUCCAUGAUCUCCCUGAACUGUUCUUCCAGUUGAUUAAAUCGCUAGCAUCUACUGUUGGUGACUUCAUAUUUGCUGAGCCCAAAUCCCAGGACUUUGAGGGGAACUUUUUUAGGGUUCGAGUGAAAGUGGAUGUCACAAAGCCGCUCAAGAACGCUGUAUCGCUGGUGAUCAAGAAGAGGAGAGAGAUAUUCAGGGUGAAAUAUGAGAGGCUUCCAGAUUGGUGUGCUGUCUGUGGUAUGCUAGGUCAUCAGUUCAAAGAGUGUGGCGAUGGGAUCCAUCCCCAAUCUGCGCUUGUGUUCAAAAAUCUGAAAGCUGACUGGUUCAGGAGCCCAGGCCGUGGACCAGGUGCUGCAAGAGGCUUUGAAGGUGGUCGAGGGAGAGGUAAUGGUCGUGCAGGUCAUGGAGGCCGGGGCUCGGGUUGAACACAACAAGAUAACUUUGACCAGGCUGUUGAUCUGGAUACAGACAUGGAAGAAGGAGACGGGAACCGCAAGAGAGGAGCUCAUGCAAACACACUCUUGCUUACUUCUUCAGGGACCAACCCAUCAUCUUCGAUGGAACCCCAAGCCCUCGCUACAGCCACCGUUCCACAGAGUCCCUCGUCGAAGCAAGACCUCAAAAGAACAAAGACCAACCCCCGUCAGUUGGAGAAGAACCCAGGGAAGAACAAGUCCUCAAACACCCAAAACAAUGCGCAAAUGGCGAGCCCUAUCAACUGGUCGCGCCUGGCGCAAUGAGUUGCCUAGUUUGGAACUGUCGCGGGGCUGGCAGACCUGCGACAGUUCGUGAGCUUCGAGAUCUAUCGAAGCUACUUGCCCCCUCUAUUGUAUGCAUUCUUGAAACCCAGAUAGAGGGCUCGCGUGUCGAGAAUCUGGUAGGAACUUUAGGUUAUAAUAAAAGCUUUGCUGUAAGCAGCUCCGGCAGGAGCAGUGGACUAGGCAUUUUUUGGAAUGAGGAAAUAAAACUCGAAGUUAUCGGUUAUUCUGAGUACCACAUAGAUGUUCUUGUUGAGCAGAUGGUAGAAACUAAAACCAGAAUCACCUUUGUGUAUGGUGAGGCCCAAACAAGUGCAAGGUACAAAACUUGGGACAUGUUGCGCGGAAUUGCUGGAACUAGCAACGACCCAUGGGUAGUGAUUGGAGACUUUAACGAAGUACUUCAUGCCCAUGAGCAUGAUGGAACCGGCCAACGAAGCCAGGCGCAGAUGGACGCCUUCUGAGAUGCUAUUGACAAAUGCGGCUUAUCAGAUAUUGGUUAUAAGGGGCAAAGCUGGACUUUUGAAAAGAAGGUGAUGGGCGGUACGUACACCAGGGUGCGCUUGGACCGGAGCGUGGCUAAUCCUGCAUGGGCUUUGGCCUUCCCAGAUGCAUCCCUUGAGCAUCUCACCGCAGCUACUUCUGAUCAUGUCCCGUUGUUGCUUCGGCUUCAAGCAAUGCAUGCAUGCAGAAGGGGACCACGGCCGUUUAAAUACGAGUUGUGUUGGGAGCGCGACCCAACACUGGAGACAAUGGUGCAUGCGGGGUGGAAUCAGCAUCCUGGGGAUUCGGUGGACCAGGUGAAGGCUAAACUCCAAACACUGUCGGGCGACCUGUCGACGUGGGAUCGGCAACAUUUUGGAAGCGUGUGCAGAGAGAUAGCCGAAUUAAAAAAAGGAACUACAGGUGUUGCGAGAAUUUCCAGGAAGAUCUGGCCCCUCUCGACGGGAGACAAAAAUCUGCGACCGCCUGGUUGAAUUGUUUCAUCGCGAGGAGAUCUUGUGGAGGCAGCGAGCUAGGAUUGAUUGGCUCAUGCAUGGCGACAAAAAUACUUAUUUCUUCCACAUGAGAGUGAGUAGGCGUCGACGGAAAAACCAAAUUAAAUCCUUGCAAUGAGCUGACGGGCAGGUAACGGAGAAUGAACUGGAGAUGGAAAACAUGACGAUCUCCUUUUACAAGGACUUGUACACGACAGAAGGGGUUGGUGAUAUGGCACAGGUGCUAGAAACAGUACCAUGCAAGGUUACGCAUGCAAUGAACGCCUCGUUGAAUGCCCCAUAUAGCCCGGAAGAAGUCAAGACUGCCCUUUUUCAAAUGUUUCCCACCAAGGCACCGGGACCAGAUGGCUUUCCCGCUCACUUCUUUCAGAGGCACUGGGAGACGUGCGGAGACGAAAUCACCAAAGUCGUUCUUAAAAUUGUUGAGGGCACAGAAUCUGCAGCAUGUAUCAAUGAGACAGUCUUGGUGCUAAUCCCUAAGGUAAAAAACCCAACCCUCUUGAGCCAGUUCCGACCCAUCAGCUUAUGUAAUGUUCUUUACAAAAUAGCGUCCAAAGUGAUCUCUAACAGGCUGAAGGUGAUACUACCUGACAUUAUAUCUGAGGAACAAUCUGCCUUUGUCCCUGGUAGACUUAUAACUGACAACAUCAUCACUGCCUACGAGUUCCUACACUUUAUGAAAAGAAAUAAAGCUAAAAAGCACCAGUCGUUUGCUCUGAAGCUAGACAUGAUGAAGGCUUAUGACAGGGUGGAGUGGCUAUACCUGAAAGCAAUCAUGGUGAAACUAGGGUUCACUGAGAGAUGGGUGGACAUAGUUAUGGGACUGGUUACCACUGUUAAGUUUUCUGUCAUGUUUAAUGGGAAAAGAUUGGAGGAAUUCGAACCUUCACGAGGAAUUAGACAAGGGGACUCAAUAUCUCCGUACUUGUUCUUAAUAGCAGCAGAGGCCCUGUCGUGCCUGUUAAAAUCAAAGAGUGAGUCAUCCAAUCUGGGUGGUGUGCAAUGGCUCCUACGGCGCCGCCAGUUAGCCAUCUAUUAUUCGCUGAUGACAGCCUACUGUUCUGUAAGGCAAAUUGUGCGGGAGCUAAUGAGGUGAACCUAGUACUGAAUACAUACUGCCAAGCAUCCGGUCAGCGAGUAGCAAGGGAGUGCCGGAAGCUACGAGGACAGAAAUAAAAGGUUUACUCAAUAUUCCCAAUGAAACUUUAAAUGAGAAGUAUCUAGGGAUGCCGUCAGAUAUUGGGAGUUCGAAGAACGGGGCCUUCAAAUACGUCAAGGAUCAUUUAUGGAGUAAGGUACAGGGCUGGGUGGAAAACACCAUGUCAUCCGCAGGCAAGGAGGUUUUGGUGAAAUCAGUUGCCCAGUCCAUACCUAUAUUCUCAAUGUCAUGCUUUAAACAUCCAAGGGGAUUAUGUGAACACCUUAAUAUGCUUAUUAGGAAGUUCUGGUGGGGGAGCAAAGAUGGCAAAAGGAAACCUCACUGGGUAUCUUGGAAAAGUAUGACACAGCCGAAGGGAAUGGGAGGACUAGGGUUCAAAGAUUUUGAACUCUUUAAUAUGGCGAUGCUGGCAAGACAGGCUUGGAGAUUAAUCCAAACACCAGAGUCCCACGCUUGUUGAAGAGCAUAUACUUCCCUGAUUCUACCGUCUUGGAGGCGACCUUGUGCAACCAUCCCAAUCAGAUAUGGCGAGCCAUCAUCGAAGGCAGAGAUACACUCAAACAAGGUCUCAUUCGUAGAAUUGCCAAUGGUCAAUCUACUCGUAUUUGGGAGGAUCCGUGGCUGCCAAGAGAUGAGAUGUUACGGCCAUAUGGGAGCAUUCACCCCAAUCCGCCAACCUUGGUUUCGGAACUGAUCGAUCACACUAGCGCUUCAUGGAACAGUCAGCUAAUCAACCAAGUGUUUAUGCCCAUGGAUGCUUGUACCAUUAUGGGGAUCCCGGUGUGCACUCGCAAUCUCCAUGACUUCUGGAGCUGGAUCUUUGAAACGAGUGGCAACUUCACGGUCAAAUCUGCUUACCGCAUGCUUGUAGCGACAAGACAGCGCCGGGAGGCAUGGCUUGAGGGCACUGCUGGAACAUCAAACAGCACGUCGAAGGAGGGGGCUUAGAAAACGUUGUGGAAGACCCAGGUUCCUGCAAUUCUAUGGCGUUUAUCAAAGCACUCUCUCCCAACGGAGGACGUCAGGGCUCAUCGGCAUAUGGCAGAUAACGCUACUUGCGGUUUAUGUGGCUCGGCUGAUUCGUGGAGACACUCUCUGGUUAACUGCACUAGCUCGAGAUGGUGUGUGGGCUUUAGUUGAUGAGGAGCUAGCACAAAACCUAGUCUCAACCACGGAACCCAACGCCAAGCAGUGGCUCUUCACCUUCAUGCACUCACUAUCACACGAUCAAUUUGUAUUGCUUGCGGUCACUCUCUGGGCGAUCUGGACAGCGCGGCGCAAGGCUAUUCAUGAAGGAAUAGUCCAAUCGCCUCAGGCAACUAACAACUUUCUCAGACGCUUCAUAGCUGAACUAAACAUGAUUAAAGUGGAAAGGCCUAUGAGGGGAGGAGCUCAAUCUAUGGGCCUGUCACGAGCUGCACGCCCCAAAGCUCCCCCGAUCGGCUACGCCAAGAUUCAUGUGGACGCGGGAGUAAGAGCAAGGAAAGGUGGAUCAGCAGCCGCUGUAUGCCGGGACAGGCAAGGCAAUUUCCUAGGCAGCUCCGCGUUGGUGAUCGCCGGUCUAGAGGACCCAGCCAUACUAGAGACUAUCACUUGUAGAGAGGCAUUGGCGCUGGCGGAAGACCUUAAUCUGCAUAAUUUUGUCGUUGCAUCUGAUUCCAAGCAAACAGUGGCUGACAUCUUAAGUGGAGGCAGAGGCAAGAGUGGUACUAUUAUCCAGGAGAUAAACACUAGAGCAACUCUAUUUCAUUGUAAUUUUUCUUUUGAAGGCCGUGCUGUUAAUGUCGAAGCACAUAGACUAGACAAAUAUUCGCUUAAUAUCGGUCCGGGGCGCCACCUCUGGUUAGGUCAGCCCCAUGACCCGAGUUGUAUCCCACCCAUUGUGGUCUUUGAUGAAUAAAAUUUGGCUUUCCCCUCAAAAAAAAAACUUAUACGUGACAUUUGUGGGUAAUUUGUACGACGUGCCAUAAGAAGAAAUAGCCCCUUUAUUAUUAUUAGCAAAAGUGUCCGUGCGUUGUAACGGGAGAAAUAAAAUCAAAAUCUCCAAUGACCAUGACCAUAUUUUGUUGCAUCACCAAGACACCCCUAUCACUCUCAAUUUCGUGUAAUCAUGAAUAAUUUUUGAAAUCACGAACAUGUUUUAAAAUUAUUACACAUAUUUGAAAUCGUGAACAUUUUUCAAAUUCAUGAACACUUAUACAAAUUUCCGAACAUUUCUAAAAUCAAGAACAUUUUUGGAAUUGAUGAACAUUUUAUACUAUUUGCAAACACUUUUUAAAGAUUCCGAACAUCUUUAUAAACAAUUUUCUUUAAUCGAGGAACAUUUUUAUGGAAAUUGAUGGAACAAUUUUCGAAAUUCACAAACAUUUUUUGAUUUAACUAACAGUUUUUGAAAUACAUGAUCAUUUUUUGAAUCAGUGGACAUUUUCUGAAUGACUAAACUAUGUUGUAAGUCACGAAAUAGUUUUUGAAUUUUAGGAUAUUUCUCCAUUCAUGAACACUUUUUGAAUUGGCUAUUUUUUUCAAUUUCAUUAACAAUUUUUGAUAGAAAAACUUUUUAAAAAAUCAUGAAUUUUAUUUGAUUUCCCAAAAAAUUGUUUUUAAAAUUUUGAACAUUUAUUGUGUAAGCAAUUGUUUUUUACAAAACAGCGACCAUAUUUUAAAUCCACUAACAUUUUAUGAUUUAUGAAAAUUUUAUGUCAAAAUACUCAUUUUUUUAAUUUUCGAAACUUUUUUGAAAUCCCAAACUAUUUAUUGUAGAAAAGAACGAAAACAGGAAAGAAAAAUGAAAAUAGAAAACAAAAUCAAAGAAACAGGCCAGCCUGAAAUGGGCCGGCCCAAACAUACGUGUAGCUUCUUCUCCCAGCGUGCAGAGAGCAUUAUAGGAGGUCCCAACUGCAGGGCCGGCCCAGAUGGGGGAAUUCCCCUGUGUGAAUUUUUUGUAUCACUUAUAUGUGGCAUUGAACUCAUGAAGCAUGCGCUAUCCCUUCCAGCUCGCCGCCAUGUAUGGCUCGGACAACCAGAUGGACUUUCUUUCGUCCAUGUAAACGUUAUGACGAUAUAAUAAAAAGCUUCGGAAUUUGUCUAAAAAGACUUAUAAGUGGCAUUGGUGGGUAAUAUUUUGCAACUUUAGAGGUAAUUCCAUGACGUACCACCAGAAGCACAAUAGCCCCUUUACUAUUAUUAGGUACUCUUUUUUCCUUGUGGAGCUUUGGAAAUGAGAGAAUUUGAAUAUAGUAACUCUCGGAAACUCUUAUUGGAUGAGAGAGAUUUAAUAUGAUAUUGGCAUGGGUUCUACCAACUAACGAAGAAGUAUUUGACUGGAUAAACAGACAAUUUCCUUUAAUGGACGAACAUUUUUAUGAAAAUUGGUGGAAUAACUUGGGAAAUUCAUAAAUAUUUUUUUAGUUAACGAACAUUUUUUUAACUUAACGAACAUUUUUUGAAAUACAUGACCAUUUUUUUGAAUCUGUGAACGUUGUAUGAAUGAAUAAACUAGUUUGUAAGUCAUGAGCAGUUUUUCAAUUUUUAGGAUAUUUUUCCCUUCAUGAACAUUUUUUCAAUUGGUGAAAUUUUGUUCAAUUUCGUUAACAAUUUUUAGUGCACAAACCUUUUUAAAAAAUCAUGAACAUGAUUAUUUACCAAAGAAGCAAAUUGUUUUUUACAAAAUCGUGGACAUUUUUUUAACCCAGAAACAUUUUAUGAUUUAUGAAACAUUUUUUUCAAUACACAAUAUUUUUAAUUUUCGAAUUUUUGUGAAAUCCUAAAUUAUUUAAAGUAGAAAAAUCAAAAACAGAAAAGAGAAAGGAAUAAUAGAAAACAAAGUUAAAGAAUAGGCCGACCGAACAUGGGCCGGCCCAAACGGGCGCACUGUAUCUUCUGCCAGCGCCUAGAGCGCAGUAUAGGAGGUCCCUACUGCAUGGGCCNNNNNNNNNNNNNNNNNNNNNNNNNNNNNNNNNNNNNNNNNNNNNNNNNNNNNNNNNNNNNNNNNNAAGAAAAUAAUGCCUAUGCAUAUGCUUUUAUAUUAUUAUUAUUGUUUCAAAUUUAUUCAUAUAUUAUUUUCAAUUGUACAACCAUAAUUUUUCUUAUCUCUCUCGUUCCACUACAUGCUCCUAGUCAAAGAUUUUUUUAAUAAUGGGUGUUUUUAUUAACUCAAAAUAUAGCAUCAAGCGGAUACAAAACAUAAUGAGCCACACCCGGUCUAUGCAUAACUAAGAUGCACACAGCCAAAAGCAGAAGUCUGACAAAAAUAAGAUAAGAAAAUCGACAUAUCGACAACAGUGAGUCAUAUAGUACCGACACUAUGCCUCUGUCGAAGGAGGUGGUGGAGCGAUCUGGAGAUUAUGCUGCCAUCCAUGUUGAGUAAAUAUCUCCCUGGCCACUUGCUCCAACCGCAUAGACGCCGCCAUGAACAACGGUUGGUACUCCAUUCGGUGUAGCAUACACCAUACUAGAGGCUGGGGCGCCACCUGAGGCGGGCCUAUGCACACUUAUUUUGUCUGGGCAGUUCGGUUGUCAUGUUUGGUCAUCAGUAUCACUUAUGUACAUCAAUAUGGGCGUAUGUUGUAUUGUUUGAGUUCAUUAGGAUCUAUCAGUAUCACAUCAAUCAAACUACAUAUACUAUGUUAUUUGAGUUCAGAACCAUCAUAGGCAAUGAUACGUCUAACAAGGAUAUAUAACAUUUAAUUCAAAAGGAAAGACAAAGUAGAAUUAAGUGCUUCAGAUUGGCCGAAGAAAGGAACCUCAUGAUGCCAUGACUAAGGAACCAAAUAUAAAAGAGCACCUUUCAGAGUACUCCAGAGGUAUGACAUCAUCCAUUUCCACAUCAGAAUCAUCGGAAUUCUCCUGAUCCUCAUUUCGAUGUACCCAACACAAAUGCUACAUGGAUUUUAGUCAGCUGCAAUCCCCACUACUUCUACACUUCCCCUUUUUCACACCGAGGAGCAGAGACUGAUGCAAGUUGAUCGAACACAGAACAACAUAUAAUUGCCUAGAGAUGCGCUGGGCCUGAACAACAACAACAACAACAACCGUUGAGCCAGGUCUCCUUCCAGCAGCCUCAGCAACAAUAUCCAUCAGGCCAGGGCUCCUUCCAGCCAUCUCAGCAAAACCCACAGGCCCAGGGCUCUUUCCAGCCUCAACAACUGCCCCAGUUUGAGGAAAUAAGGAACCUAGCGCUACAGACGCUACUUGCAAUGUGCGAUGUCUAUAUCCCUCCAUAUUGCACCAUUGCUCCAUUUGGCAUCUUUGGUACUAACUGAGAAGAGAAGAACUCUAGUAGUAGAUAUAUGAUACACCGUUUUCUUAGUCCAUGGUUUGGUCGUUGUAGCGGUGAAAAAAUAAAGUGACAUGCACUAUCAUGUAAGAACCCGAACUAUACUAGUUCAAACUUGGGAAUAAAAGACAAACACAGGUCUUGUCUACAUAUGAUUGUUUGUUUGAGUUCCACUCAUGUGCCCAUUCACAAGUUCACCCCUAAUUAUAUAUAUUAUGCAUUAAGUAGAUAUUUAUGUUGCAUUAAUCUAAAGAUAACAAAAUGAGUCUGAAAUUUGAAUUAAAUUGAAGUAUUUCCUUGGACUUUCAAAUGGAGUAUUAUUAAAGUAGUAAGGACUAUCCUCAUCCUUGGCUUGCCCUUGAUCAAUUAUUUCCAGAGAAGCAUUCAAUUCGUCAAUCAAUUACAUUGAUUUUUGCAGCCGGUACUUCUCCUCAACAUGAGUAUAUUCAUCGCGGCUACUCCAAAUCGGCAUGAAUGAGGUACCGGUGCUCUGGAGCACUAGUAC
rnacentral:lncRNA from 1 species